GGCUAGAGACGGAAUUUAUUGAAGAAAUUGUGAAGGACAUCCACCGUAGGUUACAUGUACCCUCAAGGAGUGUUCGGCAACAACUUAUUGGGAUGGACUAUGAGAUUAAGUUCAUAACUUCAUGGUUGAAAGAUGGAUCCUCACAUACGGCAGACAUACUCACUAUUACGGGAAUCGGCGGGAUCGGGAAGACAUCUUUAGCCAAAUAUAUCUAUGACCUAUAUUGGCAUGAAUUCAGCACAAGCAGUUGUAUUGAAGAUAUCAGUAGGAGAUGUGAUGGAAAGUUUAAUGGGCUGCUUGAUAUACAAAAGCAACUUUGGGAUGACAUUUCAAAAAAAAGUUCAAUUCAAGUUCAUAAUGUUUCAGCAUACACCUCAAAGAUAGAGAAUGCAUUAACCCUUAAAAAGGUCUUUAUAGUUCUUGAUGAUAUCAGUACUAUUGAUCAGUUGGAUGCAUUACUCGGAAACAAAGGUUUUCAUCCCGGAAGCAAAAUUAUAAUAACAACAAAGAUAAGAUGGAUAACACAAAGUUGUGCACUAUUCAAAACAAAUAUUAAACCCAAGCAUGUAGAACGCUUCCUUAAAGGCUUAUGUAGGACUGAAUCAUGCCAACUUUUGUUUUCCCAUGCAUUCAUGUGCAACCAUCCCAAGGCAGGUUAUGAAGAGGUGUUAGAGAAGCUUGUGAAGUAUUGCCAAGGACAUCCAUUGGCUCUCAAAGUUUUGGGCAAGUCGCUACAUAAUCGAGAUGUAGCUUACUGGGAAGGGUGCAUACAAGGGCUAAAAAAAGAAACAAAUUCCUGUAUAAAUAAUGUCUUGAGAAUGAGCUUUGAUUCUUUGCCAUCUAACAAUGAUAAGGAAUUGUUUAAGCAUAUUGCUUGUUUUUUUGUUGGAAUAGAUAGAGAUGUUACCGAAACAAUAUUAGAGGCAUGCAAUAUAAACACGAGAUACGGAAUCAUUAAUCUCAUUGACAGAUGCCUUCUUAGUAUAGGACAAAAUAAUGAAUUGACGAUGCAUCAGUUGGUUCAAGAGAUGGGAAGAUUCGAAGUACUUCAAGAAUCACUUGACAAGCCAUGGAAGCGCAGUCGAUUAUGGUGUCAUGAGGAGUCGUUCAAAGUAUUAAAGAAAAAAAAGGUAAGAGCCUUUGUAACCCCGUAUAGUUGCUAGUAAUGUGCAUAUAUAUAUAUAUAUAUAUAUAUUCCUUAUGUUGAGCCAUUCCAACACAAAAUUCAUAUAUAUAUGCUUGACUAAAGAUGAUUAAAACUGCAAUGUAAGCUUUUAUAAUUGAGAUGAAGUAUAANGGUGCAUCAUUUGAGUUGAAAAUAGAUGCGUUGAGUAACAUGGAUAAUCUGAUGCUGCUACAACUCAAUUAUGUGCACAUGAAUGGUUCUUAUGAAAACUUUCCGGAAGAAUUAAGAUGCUUAUGCAUGCAUGGGUACCAUUUAAAUUCUAUACCUUUAAAUUUACCAAUGGGGAAUCUGGUUGCUCUUGACAUGUCAUAUAGCAAUAUUGAAUCAUUUGUCUUUUGUGAUAGUAAUCCACAACGACAUGAAAAGAGACAAAAGGUAACUUAUCUUCCUUUGUUAUUAUUCCAUGUUGAUUUGGUGAAAUUCACUAUUAGUCUAACUUAUCCCUAUUUCACAGUUAAGCGGAUCAUGCUUAAAACACAAAAGGGUACUUGGAUCAUUGAAGAUUCUUAAUUUAAGUUUCUGUAAACAACUUGGUAGUCUUGGUGACUUUGACCAACUCCCUGCUCUUGAGAGGUUAAUAGUUAGAAAUUGCAUUAGUUUGCAUGAGGUUUGUGAAUCAAUUGGGCAAUGUGUUAAACUUGUCUUAAUCGAUCUGAGCUACUGCAACAAGCUUGAAAAAAUUCAAAAAAUCACAAGCAUGUUAGCGAAUGUUAAAAUAAUGUUCCUAGAGGGUUGUAAUCUUGGGGAAUCACAGAUCAAGAUUAGGGAUAUUGAUCUACCAGAAAGGCUCAAGGCUAACGACAUUGACAUAAAUACAAUAACCUCUUCCUCUGCCUUUGGGGGUGCUAUACCAAGUGAUUUGAAGUUCUCUGCAUUUUCUUUACCUAGGUCUUUAGUAAGUUUGGUACUUGCAAAUAAUAAUUUGUCCAAUGAAUCCUUUCCCAUGGACUUCAGUUGCCUAUCCAUGUUAAAGCAUUUAUAUUUAGACGAAAAUCUUAUCGAUUCCAUGCCCAUUUGUGUGAGAACCCUUCCUAGGCUUGAAAUACUUAGCAUGAAUAAUUGUAAAAAUUUGAAGUCAAUCGAGCAUCCUCCACAUACACUAAGAGUGUUGUUCGUCGUUUCUCAUAGGCCCUCUAUAGAAAAAUUGGUAUUAAAUCGAACAACAUCCAUACACCAUUUAUCAUAUAACGAUAUAGAUUACGGACGUUGGUCAUAUGAAAUAGAAGGCGUGAUCAAAAUCCAAGCAAUGGUGGGUGUUGACGAAGAGGUAUUGCGUAGCUUGGGAUGGACUAAUUUAGACUUCCGUAACGACAGGCGUGUGAGAACAGAUCUUCAGAGAUCUGGAAUCCAGGUUUUGUCUAGUUAAAUGUUUUGUCUUUAUGUGAAUACGUUUAAUAUAAUUAUUACGGUGAUUAAUUAAGGUGGUUUGUAUUUGGCAGACGAUGCUUUAUGAAUAUGGAAUAUUUAGCACAAUGUACGAGGCGGAGGAGAUGCCGAGUUGGUUUAGGCAUAGAAGCGUGGGGCCAUCAAUAUUAUUUACCAUCCCAUCAUCUCCAAACUGCGUUAGAGGAUUCAACUUCUGCUCUGUGCAGACGUUGCAAGUUCCAGAUGAGGAUGCAAGAACCUAUCUUUCGCCAAAGAUCACAAUUGAUAAUAUAACAAAGAAUCGCACAUGGAUAUACCAACGUCGCUUGACCAGAUCUACUGUAUGCCGAGAGUGUUGCGUGAUGUUAAGUCAUUGGAUGUUUGGAAUGAAUGACAUGGAAGGUGGUGACCAGGUUACUAUUACUGUUACAGGGCCAUAUAAUGAACUUAUAAAGGAGUGUGGGGUGAGAGUCAUGUAUGUUGAUGAUGAUGAUGGUGCGUUAGGUUAUUACAAGUCAUGGAAUCUCAUAAUUGGUGGAGAUCUCUCUCCUUUUCAAAUGAGAACAGGAGAAUACAUCCUAUACAACUGGGAUUUUAGAUUCCAGUUUAUGAAUUUUUUCAUGGAACACUAAACUCAUUAGAGAAGGUGACAGCUAUCAAGGUUGAUGUCAUUCUUAUUAAAUAUUUUGUUGUCAGAGCCUUAUGUAUACAACCUGACCCAUGACCAAACUUCAUUAAAUAGAUGAACAAUGACCUAUUUAUUUUAAAUAAAUGGAUCAUAGCCUGAUUCGUCUAAAUAAGUACAUCAUAUGACCCAAAUCCACCCAUUUAUUAUUGAUUUUGUUUGCCCUCUAAGAUAAGAGUUUAUUUUUAAUGUAUCGAUCCAGAUGCACGAUGGGUCGACCCAAGUAUUGAUCCGUCUAAAUGGGUUGAUCUGCUAUAUCAAUUGGUUAAGUUUUUUUAUAUGUUGGGUCACAUAAUUAUAAUAUACCAGGACCAAUACAACUGCUUUGUCCAAAUGGAUGUAUGUGAAUAGUGAUUAACACAAUGCUUUUUUUUUUCUCUGUAUUUUCAACACAAAAGGAAGUGUGGUUCAGAGAUUUUUCGCAAAGGAAGCCUGACAUAAUUGGUCAUGCACGUGAGGUAUAUUUUUAUACCUGAGCAUUUCUCUCGUCACAUAAAUAAAGGGAAAAUGACUUAGGUUUUGUCCACAUUUGGUCACUUUCAUUUUUUUUUGACAACAUUGACCAUUAAAUUCUCAUUUUCUGUUCAAGUUAUAGUAGGUUAAUGUCCAAUUGGCAUAUACUUGGCAUCUACAUGGUGGCAUUUGAGAUUAGCUGAUACGUGAUAUAAGGUAUUUCUUCACCCUCUUGCUCUUUUGUGCCCUAGAAUAACAAAAUCAACAUGUCUUCUUCUUCUUCUUAAUCUGCCAGUCAAAAUCAAAAAUUCCAAGUUGAAAAUCCUUGGAAAUGUGGGUUACCUUCUCGAUUGAGGAAAUCACAGACUGAUGACAACCCUGAAGAAAGUUUAGAGUGUGCCCUAACUCGAUGGUAAAUCAAAUUAUGUUUUUUCUUUAACACUUCUUUUGUAUGUUCUUGUUUUAACAUUUCUAUUUAUUCAAGACUAAAAGGAAAAGUUGCAAUUUCUAGGAGUGAUCGAUGAAGAUUUUCAAUAUGAAGAUUUAAACAUCAAGUUGAAGUCGAAGAAUAUGGGUGUAAUGGAAGCUUAUGAACUAAUGCUGAAAAUUUGCUACAUCAGAGCAUGAGAUGAAGAUGGACCACGAAAUGGAGGCACUGAAAUGGAAGGUGUCCACUCACAAAAUAGUGCUCUUGUGUUGUUUGUUAUGCUUGUAGUUAAUCUACUUUAGGUUAGGGAUUAAUGGCUUAGUGAAAGUUGGCUUAUUGGGUUAAUGUACUUUGGAUGUAACUGAAAAUGGCUUAAUGAAAGAUGGAUGCUAGCUAACUGAUUAUUAAUGACAGUUUUGGAUGUUUUUUUGACAGGGCUUAAUGAAUGAUACAUGUUGGGUUACCGAUUGUUGAUGACACACAAACAUAAAACUAGCAAACAAGUAUUUGUCAUGAACAUAAAACAUGAACAUAAAACAGAUGAACAAAUAUAGCCAUGAACAUACUAAAUUAGAAAAAUUAAAGAACAUGAUAAUGUUAACAGACAAACUAGCUUCCCACAAUAUGAAUGUGGUUCCUUUUCAUGAGGUUCAUCUUCAGUUGGUUUGGGAACUUCCAUGUGUCCUUGAACUUCUUGUUCUGUUUUCACGGCUUGACACAUCUGGUUUCACUACAAAGAUUUGUAAGUUGCAAUAUUAUUUUGUUUUUGCCAAAAAUAUUUUUGUUGUAAGUUACAUAACAUUAUUUUUUGUUUAGGAUACCAUAUUUGUAGUUCUUCCCAUACUCUCCCUCUAUUUUCCUCUUUAUAGUGGGCCUCCCACGUAACCUUCUUUUUAAGGGGGUUUAAUGGAUUGUGAGCAUCAACAUGAGGCUACAUGACACAAUUAGAAGUCAUAAGUUCAAUCAUUAACUUUUUUACUUGAUUUAUGGAUGUUGCUUUUUCAAACGAAGCAAUCGUUGAUGGGGAUUAUAUUAGAUGUCCUUGUUCUAAAUGCAAGAACAAGUCUUAUAAAACAAGAAAGGAAAGAAAACCCUAAGUUUAGGGGUCGACUCGGCGAGUCUAAGGGGGACUCGGCGAGUCCGAGCGGGAUCCGGGUCGGGGAGUAAGUGACCGACUCGGCGAGUCGACCAGGGGGACUCGGCGAGUAUGGUCUGUGCGUGGAAAACCCUAAAUUCGGGACUUGGGGCCUAUAUAAAUUUCUUAAUCUUCUUCCCAGGGUUCCUUACUGCCUCUUUAGCCCUGGAUAUCAAACCCUAGCCAUCAUAUCUCCUAGUUGAGCCUUGGAAGGUGCUUUAAAGCUUGGAAAAGGAAGAAGGAACUUGGAGGAGCAAGAAGGAGCUAUAGAUCUGGGAUUAUGAGUUCAUUUUAAGCACUUGGAGGUAAUAAACUAGUUCCUGGACCCUUUUUGCACCUAGAUCUAUGUGUGGUUGUUGGGGCUCUUUUGCCAUAAUGUUAUUAUUUUGGGUUAGAAGCCGGAUCUGGAGUUGCUACUUCAGAUUCAAGUGUUUUAGGGCCUGGAGAAGCAUAAAGUAUCAGUCAUUGUGUUGAUUUUGAAGUCCCUUGGCCUUACACCCUAGUUAAUGGCGUAUCUUUCCUAGAUCUCCUUCUCUACACGUAAAGUUUGCAACUUUACGUAAGGAAUAGACCUUAAAAGAGUGGAUCUACAAUUUGGAGUCCAUGCAUGACUCAAAGGUCCUCUGCAUGUAUGUAGAAUCGAAUGGACUCGGCGAGUAGCUUGAAGAUGAGGAGGAACUCGACGAGUAGGAUGAACAACUCGUCGAGUCGGAUGAAGUUAGGCAUGGACUCGGCGAGUUGGAUGAGCAACUCGGCGAGUUGGUUGAAGAUUGUCUAGGACUCGGCGAGUCAUGGACUGACUCGGCGAGUCGGGUCGCGAAUAAGAAAGACCCUGAGCUUAUGAACUCGGCGAGUCUUUAGGAAGACUCGGCGAGUAGGGUUGACCUGGAAGGUUGACUUUGACCAGAGUUGACUUAGUUGACUGUCAGACUAAGUGUUAUAUGUAUAUUGAUAGCUCGGAGAGCUGGAGGAGCAGCGGAUCAGGGGAUUGUCGAGUAGCAGCCAGAGAUUUAUCAGUAGGGUUCAGUAGUCUCAGGUGAGUUUCCUUCCAGUAGGGACGGGUCUAAGGCCACAAUGCCGGCCCGUCCAGUUAGCAGUAGUUUCCGAUGCAGUAGUUAGCAUGUUUGAUGCCUUCGUGGCUCAGACAGGAUUUAUGUGCUAUGUUUUAUGUGUUAUGUGUUAUGUGUUCCGGGCUACGGCCCGAUGUAGUAUGCAGUAUAUGUGUUCAUGCUAGUUGAUAUGUUAUGCUAUGCUAUGUUCAGCCAGUUAGCCCGGACUUCGGUCCGAUGCAGGGGACAAGGUCCCAAUCAGUCUCCGGACUUCGGUCCGAUGUAGGGGGCAAGGCCCCAGUUAGCCCGGACUUCGGUCCGAUGCAGGGGACAAGGUCCCAGUCAGUCUCCGGACUUCGGUCCGAUGUAGGGGGCAAGGCCCCAGUUAGCCCGGACUUCGGUCCGAUGCAGGGAACAAGGUCCCAGUCAGUCUCCGGACUUCGGUCCGAUGCAGGGGGCAAGGCCCCAGUUAGUCCGGACCUUGGUCCGAUGCAGUGGGCAAGACCCAGUAUGUGCUUUAUAUGUUAUUGUAUGGUAUGUGGUAGAUUGGGGGAGCUCACUAAGCUUCGUGCUUACGGUUUUCAGUUUUGGUUUCAGGUACUCAGUUUUCAAAAGAGGAGCUCGGGAAGAUUGCAGAGCACACACCAUAGUCAGUUAGCCUGGGAAUGUUUGACUCUGAUAAUGAUAUUAUGUUUUGAAUUUAAUACUCAAAAGUUAUGUUUGACUUAUGAUACGUUGUUAUAAAUCUAUUUUUAGUAAUGUUUAAAAGAAAUUUUUUGUCAUGAUUUUUGGGUCGUUACAAGUUGGUAUCAGAGCCUUGGUUUGAGGGAUUCGGGCGCACUCCUGAGUGUGUCUGAACUCAAACUAAGGAAGUGGUAUAGAGUUUUCAAAAGAAAAACCAUGGUUACAAAAGGAUUUUGAGAAAAGAAAACAAUUUUAGAAAAAGUAUAAAGAAAAGAGUUUUAGAAAAAGCAAAAAGAGUUUUGAAAAGAGAAAAGGGUGUGGUGCAUGCAAUCAGCCGAGCUCAAGUAAGUACUCCCAAUUUACCCAUACAAGUUAUAUUAUGAUUAUCAGUAUCAGUUUCAGUAUCAGUUUCAGUUUCAGUUUCAGUUCCAGCUUCAGUAGAACAGCAUGCUAGAAUAGGACUAAGGAUCUAGGAUGAUGCCUUAUGUGCCUGCUUUAUGUGUUUCAGCUUGAUAAGAAUUUCAUGCUAGUAAUGAGUAGACAGUAGUAGGAUAGCCUGUGUAGGUUAUGCCUGAUAGUAUGAGCUUAGCAUUGUAUGCUAGUACAGUUUCUUGUUAUGAGAAUAGUUUUGCCUGAGUAUGUUUCCUUUAUCCGAAUGCUGCUUGCUUUGUGCUUUGUGGGACUCUGAGUGAUGGGAGUUAGCCAUUAGGUGAAUACGUCACAUCACAUGUGAUCAGGGUUGAAUAAUCUCAGAGUGCUGGAUUUGGCCCUACUGCGCAGCUCUCGUUUGAGUCCAACCGUUGUAGGGACGAGACUUUUACUCGAAGGAUUAUCCGAGCCUCAUUACAUGUGAUGGUAUUCAGGUGGUGGCUAAUUGGCAUUACAAGGAGGCCUUCAGCAGCUGAGGACUGGUUUGAGUAGAGUCAGAGGUUCCCUAGGGCAAGCCUAGGAUGAGAGUAGCAGAGAUCAGUAGAAGAGUAAAGGGGACUUGGUGGAGUUGAGGUAACUCUUGAGGAAAGUACGGAUAGAUGUGGAAGGUAGUAGGGGCCCAUACUACUGAAAGCAGAGGAUCCGUACUCGAUUCAAGAGGGGCCGCGGCGAAACCAAGGAACUAAUAGAGUAUGUGAGAGAUCCCUCAGCAGUAGUAUGUAAUUGAUCAGGGAUUGUUAUAUUUUUCAGCAUGGUGACGUUGCGCGAGAUAUCAGUUGGCAGUUCAGGUGCAGGGGAGGGGUCUGGCUCGGGCUUUAGAGUCGGGCAGCUUGAUGAUCAGAUGAGGGAUUUCAUUUCCGCAGAGAUUAUGCGCAACAUCAUCGAUCAGACUCCAGUGAUUUUUGGUUCAGUUAGAGAGGCUUGNGCCAUUGUGGAGCUCGUGGACAGUCAUCUUGAGGCCUUUAGGGCCGGAUUAGUUUCAGGACAGAUUGGGGCUCGUCUAGGUCCCGAAUCCUAUGGAGUUCAGGGAUCCAUCAGGGAGGGAGAUCCCAUUUCUAGUUUCUGCUAUCAGGGGGCAGGGUGUGUGGGGCAUUCUGUCUCCAAGAGAAACCAUUGCAUGAUUGGAUAGUUGAGGAAGUUUCGCGAGCCAUUCGCGAGGGUCUGCCAGACAUGGUCGUGAGGAUCACUGAUAGAUUGAUAGCGAGGCUUCAGGAUCAGACAUCUGUUGUUCAGUCAGCAGACGUUACCAUUGGGGUAACACAGGAGCGAGAGUCGGGCAGGGAGUCGGAAGGGAAGAGAAAAAUGGAUGAGACUCAGGCUGCCACAGGUUCGAGUAAGAGGCCCAAGAGUUCAGAUUUGAGGACGAGGAACUAUCAGAGCCGCAGUCGAUGCGGGAAGUGCGGGAGGACGCACAUGGGUGUGUGUAGGCGUAGGAGGGGUGGCGAUGCUGGGUGUUUCAAGUGCGGCCAGAUUGGUCAUUUUAGCAGAGACUGUGUUGUUACCAUCGCCCAGGGNNNNNNNNNNNNNNNNNNNNNNNNNNNNNNNNNNNNNNNNNNNNNNNNNNNNNNNNNNNNNNNNNNNNNNNNNNNNNNNNNNNNNNNNNNNNNNNNNNNNNNNNNNNNNNNNNNNNNNNNNNNNNNNNNNNNNNNNNGGGUGCCUACGGCUCGGAGCCGAGUUUCUCCGGUAGAUUUCAGCAGGGAUUCGAGCAGCACUGAGUAAUGGAGGUAUGUAACUUUGUGUUUGUCAGCUUAUGUUAUGAUUAUAUUGUUAUGGUUUUUGCAUCAAUUGUGGUAUAAGUGUUGUGUUAUGGAGUGGCUUGCUUGUGAUUACGUCAUAUGCCAUUUUCAUACCUCGGAUAAUUGGUUGGUAGUUAGGGGAUGUGCUCAUAUGGAGAAGUUUCGGAGGAUGCAGUAACUGUAGCAUGGUAGGGAGAGAUCUGGAUCGUUUCGCUAGUUCGGAGUGGAUAGUGGGUUGGAUGGAAUGGUCAAAUUCCUACCUGGCGGGCUUGGGUUCCCCAGUAGAAGUUUUGGAAUGGUAGUAAAGGAUCGGGAUCUCUUUUGAGUGUGAAGCCGCAAGGGUUAAGCAGGAUCGAAGUGGGGGAGAACCCUCCGGGUAUAUUUGGAUAAGAGUCUCGUAGACUCAGAAUGAGUGCGCGGCCUCUAAGAAGAAAUGGUAGUAGCUCAGUGAUGGAUGGAUUGAGAAGUUCAGAACUAGGAGUUCGAGAACUUUUCCCAGUAGUUAGUUCAUGUAAUCGAAAUGGUUAGAAGCUGGUUGGGAAUCCAAGAUUGAGGGCCACCUGUCGGACGCAUGAGAGUCGGAAUGAAGACCCUGAGAACGGGUAGCAGGAGAUGUUUUAGCAUUGGUAGCCAGUGUCUGAGGCAGCAUGCAGAUUGCGUAGAUUCAGGAGUUGGGAGGUUGGAAACUUCCCAACAAUAGCUUCUUGUAUUCAGAUUAGUAGACGGUUGGUUUGGGAACCAAGCCGGAGAAUUCCUCGACGAAGCACUAAGUAUAUCAAGGAUAUAAGAUGUCGAGGAUGAUGCAGAAUUCAAAGACUGAGGGCUGGUGUGAGAAAUCGGGAUGAAGAAUCACUAGCGGGACUAGGGAUAGUCAGGAUGUCCUCGGGAUGGUAGUAGUAGAGUGUUGUAAGUCUGCGGGGGUAGCCGUAGCAUUCACUAGUAGUCAGAUAGUAGUAGAGUGUUGUAAGUCUGCGGGGGUAGCCGUACCAUUCACUAGUAGUCAGAUAGUAGUAGAGUGUUGUAAGCCUGCGGGGGUAGCCGUAGCGUUCAUUAGCAGCCAGAUAGUAUUUGAGACUUGUGAAUCCACGGGUGUAGCCGUGGCUUUUAUCAGAUUGGUAGCAGCAUGAGCGCGUGGCUGAACGCGGGAAUGUAGUAUUUCCCACCCGUUCGGGUGCAGCGGUGGGAAUAUGGGAAUCCACAGAUUAGAUUCGGAUUUCCCAAAUGGUUCAGUUAUGGCUAAGUCAGCGAAUCUUGGCUAUAGAUCGUCACAUCAGUUAUGAGAUCAGAGUAGCAGUGGACCGUUGAGGUUCGGGUAUGUUAAGGGCUACCGUCAGUCUGGGAGCCAUCAUGUUAUUAGUCAUAGAAUGGAUGAUGUCAGGAUGUGAAGUAUGGACCCGAUCGGUUGGAUCGGAAGGUUGUUAGAGCCACAGUGACAGGAUAACUAGUGGAAACUAGUCCUUGAGGAAGAUUCCAUUCAGAAGUCGUGGAAGCGACUAAAGGAGGAGUCCCUUGACUCCACAGUUGGACUUGAGUUUAGUGUUUCAGGCAGCUCAGUGUUUCGGCCAACUCAGUGUCUCAGGCAGCUCAGUGAUUCAGCCAGAUCAGCGUUUCAGGCAGUUUAAUGUUCCAGGCAGGUUCGUUAUUGCAGACAAUUCAGUGUUUGAAAGGUUUCGGAGUUUUGGGUCAGUAUUGUAUUUGAGUUGGAAUACUAGUGUUGACGGUAUAGUUGGUUGAUGUGGAAAUGACAAGUCUCUCUCAGCAGGAUCAGUUGAGCCUUCGGCCGAGUAUAAGUGACAUGUAAAGAUAGCUAGGCAAGUAGCUUUUCUUCGGGAUGAAAGACUCGAGUUAGUAGGAGUUGAAUAAUCAGAUGGGAUAUAAGCAAGCUAUUCCCAGAAGCAUCGUUUCAGUAUGAGCGGAAGAAUGGAUAGAACAGUUAUAGAUAAGAUAGUCGAAGUAUUUUCAGGAGUCGCUGGAAGCGACUAGGAGAUAGCGAAGGGGUGUAGUAACCGGUAGGGUUCGGUAACCCAAAUAUGGAGACGUCAGUAAGGACCGGGGGUGCUCGGCACCAAGUUAUGUCAGAUAGGGGCGUCGGUGGUUGUUGGCGGUAUUGACCCGUACUGGAAUUGGCGGGGGUGAUGGAGUUGGUGAAGUAUAGGACCUUCACAGUUACAGAGAAAUAGUUGGUUAUAGAACCUUGCCUUGGGAAGGCAAGGGAUUUGCACAAGGACAGGAAGGAGUGAACCCCUAUAGGUUCAGUUCAGUACUCGGUGAGUACCAGAAGGAUUGCUAGUUGAGUAAGUUGGGUCUCCAGGAUGUUCAGGGUCAGGGUUGACCCGAGGUGUUAUCUGCAGGGAUUAAGGUUAGUCGGAAGGAUCGAGCAAAAGCUAGCAAGGGUAGGCAGCUGGUAUUGGAAUAGUUGGUUGGGUUUAGAGGUAGCUCGUAGGCAGUGGGCCAUAGCAGACUUCGAGGACGAAGUUUAGUUUAAGUGGGGGAGAGUUGUAACACCCAAAGUUUCGAAGACCAAGAAAGGAAAGAAAACCCUAAGUUUAGGGGUCGACUCGGCGAGUCUAAGGAGGGACUCGGCGAGUCCGAGCGGGAUCCGGGUCGGGGAGUAAGUGACCGACUCGGCGAGUCGACCAGGGGGACUCGGCGAGUCUGGUCUGUGCGUGGAAAACCCUAAAUUCGGGACUUGGGGCCUAUAUAAAUUUCUUAAUCUUCUUCCCAGGGUUCCUUACUGCCUCUUUAGCCCUGGAUAUCAAACCCUAGCCGUCAUAUCUCCUAGUUGAGCCUUGGAAGGUGCUUUAAAGCUUGGAAAAGGAAGAAGGAACUUGGAGGAGCAAGAAGGAGCUAUAGAUCUGGGAUUAUGAGUUCAUUUUAAGCACUUGGAGGUAAUAAACUAGUUCCUGGACCCUUUUUGCACCUAGAUCUAUGUGUGGUUGUUGGGGCUCUUUUGCCAUAAUGUUAUUAUUUUGGGUUAGAAGCCGGAUCUGGAGUUGCUACUUCAGAUUCAAGUGUUUUAGGGCCUGGAGAAGCAUAAAGUAUCAGUCAUUGUGUUGAUUUUGAAGUCCCUUGGCCUUACACCCUAGUUAAUGGCGUAUCUUUCCUAGAUCUCCUUCUCUACACGUAAAGUUUGCAACUUUACGUAAGGAAUAGACCUUAAAAGAGUGGAUCUACAGUUUGGAGUCCAUGCAUGACUCAAAGGUCCUCUGCAUGUAUGUAGAACCGAAUGGACUCGGCGAGUCCUUCGAGUGGACUCGGCGAGUAGCUUGAAGAUGAGGAGGAACUCGACGAGUAGGAUGAACAACUCGUCGAGUCGGAUGAAGUUAGGCAUGGACUCGGCGAGUUGGAUGAGCAACUCGGCGAGUUGGUUGAAGAUUGUCUAGGACUCGGCGAGUCAUGGACUGACUCGGCGAGUCGGGUCGCGAAUAAGAAAGACCCUGAGCUUAUGAACUCGACGAGUCUUUAGGAAGACUCGGCGAGUAGGGUUGACCUGGAAGGUUGACUUUGACCAGAGUUGACUUAGUUGACUGUCAGACUAAGUGUUAUAUGUAUAUUGAUAGCUCGGAGAGCUGGAGGAGCAGCGGAUCAGGGGAUUGUCGAGUAGCAGCCAGAGAUUUAUCAGUAGGGUUCAGUAGUCUCAGGUGAGUUUCCUUCCAGUAGGGACGGGUCUAAGGCCACAAUGCCGGCCCGUCCAGUUAGCAGUAGUUUCCGAUGCAGUAGUUAGCAUGUUUGAUGCCUUCGUGGCUCAGACAGGAUUUAUGUGUUAUGUGUUCCGGGCUACGGCCCGAAGUAGUAUGCAGUAUACGUGUGUUCAUGCUAGUUGAUAUGUUUAUGUUAUGUUCUGUUCAGUUAGCCCGGACUUCGGUCCGAUGCAGGGGACAAGGUCCCAGUUAGUCCGGACUUCGGUCCGAUGCAGGGGGCAAGGCCCCAGUUAGCCCGGACUUCGGUCCGAUGCAGGGGACAAGGUCCCAGUCAGUUUCCGGACUUCGGUCCGAUGUAGGGGGCAAGGCCCCAGUUAGUCCGGACAUUGGUCCGAUGCAGUGGGCAAGGCCCAGUAUGUGCUUUAUAUGUUUUUGCAUGGUAUGUGUUAGAUUGGGGGAGCUCACUAAGCUUCGUGCUUACGGUUUUCAGUUUUGGUUUCAGGUACCCAGUUUUCAAAAGAGGAGCUCGGGGAGAUUGCAGUGCACACACCGUAGUCAGUUAGCCUGGGAAUGUUCGACUCUGAUAAUGAUAUUAUGCUUUGAAUUAAUACUCGAGAAUUUAUGUUAUGACUUAUGAUACAGUUUUUAUAAAUAUGAUUCUAGUAAUGCUUUUAAAGAAAUUUUUGGUCGUGAUUUUUGGGUCGUUACACCAUGGUAGUAAACCUUGUUGGUUUGACUGCUAUCAAAUUUUUUUUACCUGAACAGCACACAUAUAGGGGUGACAAAAUAGGAUUUUUGGCUAAUAACGUUGAUCGAUCUAGCCCCCCACCAAUAUUAACCGGUGAUCAGAUUUGGGAGCAAGUACGACACUUUCCAACAGUUUAUGAAGGCAAACCUUUUAAGAGAAGAAUGCAAAAUUGCCUGGUUUCGGGAUUACUCAUAAUUGGGUUAAGAGGAGCAUUUUUUGGGAGCUACCAUAUUGGUAGAAGUUGUUAAUACAACACAACCUUGAUCCCAUGCACAUUGAGACAAAUGUGUUUGAAAAUAUUUUCAACACCGUGAUGGACACUCCAAAAAACAAAGACAACAUGAAUGCAAGAAAAGAUAUAGUAAUGUAUUGCAAUCGAGUGCAAUGGCAUACAUGGAAGAAGCGAAAUAAGGAUAUGAAAAAGAGAGCAACGUUUUCUUUGAGCAAAGAACAAUUAAGUAGCUAAAAUAUGCCAAUGGUUGAUUAAACUUAAAUUCCCGGACGGAUACGCCUCAAACUUGGGGGGUGCGUUAAUGUAGAUGAUAAUAGCUUUUACAAAUUCAAGAGUCACGAGUUCCACGUAUUUCUUCAAAAAUUGUUGCCUAUUUCUCUAAGAGGUAUGGUACCAAAUUCAAGAUGGGAUGCAAUUACAGAGUUGUGUACAUUCUUUCGUGUAAUAUGUUCAAAGGUGUUACGCGUAGAUGGCUUACACUGCUUGCAAACUACUAUUGUUGAAACCAUUUGCUUGUUGGAAAAAAUAUUUCCACUUGGAUUCUUUGACUCAAUGGAGCAUCUUGUUAUGCCAAGAGCAUUAUAAGAGGAUAGUGGGAAGGAGGGUGAAGGUAUCUUGUCUCAAAUUCUGGUCUUAGAACCUUUGGCAGAGAUUAGGCUCUCCAAUCUCUAGCAAAUCAUUAGGUUUAUCUUUGUUAUUCUUGUGUUGUUUUGAGUGUUUUAAUUCAACACAGAGAAGCUUUUGUCCUGGUUCUUGUUUGUUGAAGUUUAUUGAGAUAUCAGUUCAUAGCAUCAUUUUGUUAUUUUCAUUAAUUAUUUCAUUUUGUUAUUUUCAUUAAUUAUUUGGCUAAAUGCAAGAAAUAACAAUAUAUAAUAUUUCCUUUUUUAUUAUAGCAUUUUAGUUUUGUUUCUUCUUCUUACAACAUUGUACUUCCAUUUUAUAUAUUGAAAAGGGUAUUGUCCUUAAAAAAUCUACCCGUUAUAACAACUGAUAACUCUAGCUUUUUUAUUAGUCAUCCCCUUAUUUAUUUGUGGACAUGGUACGAUUAGGAUGACAUCACUGAGCAUUAUAAGAAAUUGACAUUGGAGCUUUUCAAAAGCAAGUAGAAUAAAAUGUCACUAUGAAAAAACAAUCUAAAUGGAUUCAUAAUGCUUUUGACACAAUGAUCAAACUCCAGAUCAAGAAAGGUUCAUGUUAUAUAUGAAAAAAAAAAAAAAAAAAGGAUAAAGCAACUACAUGAGUGAUGAGACGGCCCACAUAAUGUCGGGAAUAUUUUUACUCCAAUUGUGGCCAUUAUAUAAAAAAGUAAUCAACGAUGUGUAAUUUAUAAAGAAACAAACCACUUAAAGAUACAUUAGAAAUCAGCUAACCAUCUUCUUAACAAACCAUUAUUAUAAUCACAAAAAAGAUGAAAUAUGAACAACGAAGUCAGUCAAUACCAUAAUUUUCUCAGGCCAACCCCACUUCUUAAAAUUCGGACAAUUUUAACUGGCCUAGGAAUAACAUUCAUUUUUUAAAAAAUGAAAUGAAAUGAGAAUGAAAUUUAAAAAGUAAAAUGGAAAGAAACCGAAAGGAAGAUGUGUGGUUUUUUUAAAUGGUAUAAAGGGAUUUAGAUUGUAUUCUCUAAAAAGUAAAAUUGAGCUUAAGUUUUCAAAUUUUGCAUCAAGUUUUGAUUUUUUGAUUUUUCAUAAGAGAAUAAAACCGUUUUAGAUCAUCCAUUGUAUUUUCUAACAAUCGUAUUCUCUAAAAAAAAUUGUAAAAUAUAAAGGGGUUAUAUGGUAGUGGGUGGUGGUGGCGCUAAUAGGCAGAGGCGGACCAAAUUUUUUUUAAAGGUAGCACCAAAAAAAUUCCUAAUAAAAUAUAAUUAGAUAAUUAGAUUAAAAAAACAUUGAAAAUUAUGAUUUCAUUAGAUAUAAGAAACUAAUGUAUAUAUUACAUUUUAAAUUUAACCACUUUGUUUACUCGUUUUUAAAACAAUUCAUCGUUUUUUUAAUCUUAACAAACAUAAGUGUCGUUCAUAAAAUCAUCACCCACUUUCAUCACUACUACCAAGUACCAACAUCCAAUUUUCUUAUCAAAAAAAUUCCAAAAAACAACCCUACUAACAUAAUUAAAGAAUUAAAAUUCACAAUUGAAUAUUUAAACCUAAUUUCACCAAUAAUACAAAUAAAUAACAAAGGAAGAACUAAUUGAUUAAUUUUAGGUAAUACUUGUUUAUUUUGCUAGUGUGAAAAAAAGCCUAACUUUUGAGAGGAGUGAGCAAGUAGGAGAAGACGCUAAACUUUUGUUAUUUGUGGUGUCGGACUUUCAGUGAAGGAGGGGCAGGAGAACCCAUUUUUUUCCCUUUUGCUAUUGAAGUAUGUCGUAUGCGUUUUGAGUAGCUGAUUUAAGCAAUGGUCUAAUUGGCUAAUUGAUUCACAUAAUGGGCUGUUUAUUUGGAUUUUUAAUUUAGCCAAUAGUGGACAUUUACUUGGAGUUACACCUGGUGCACAUUAGAUCAAAGAUAUAAAAUCCAAUUUUUUUUGAAACUUCUAAGUGCUAUCCCUACCAACUAACUAUAUCUGUCUAUUCCUACCAACUAACAAUAUCUGCCACAAGAAGUAUGUGGUGGUGGAUUGUAGGUGGGAUGGGGUUGGGGGUUCACAGAGAAAAAAAGGAGACAUGACAAAAGAAUGUUAAAAAAGCCUUUUUAUAAUUGAACUUAAAUGAAAAGUUUAAGAGUUUUGGUAAAAAGUCUACCGAUGCAAGAAAUGAGACCAUAAGGAUUGGUGAUGUAUUGUUUUUUAAAUUUGUUCUCAAAGUGAAUUUCACUAAACCGCCAGGAUCAUAUUUGUAAUUUAGUCUUCAGUUCUAGAAAAAGAAUAAAAAAAGAAAUUCAAAAUUAGCAAAACCGUGUUCUUUUUGGGAAAGAACCCUGAAAACCUCGGAUACCAACGCAAAAAAAAAAAAAAAAAAAAAAAAAAAAAAAAAAAAAAANAAAAAGAAAAACCCGAACAUUUUCAUUGUUUGUUUAUACUCUCUCACCGUCUCUGUUCGUUCAUCGUCGACUCACCGUUUGCCUGCUUGCUCAUCUUUCUUGGCCUUUGUCUUAGUUCAUUUUUCAUCUGUUAUCACCGCUUCAGGUUUAUAUAAAAUCUGCUCAUUCUUACAAGUUACUUUUGCUUGUCUAAAAAUUCCACAUAGCAAUCACAGAUCACAUCAUAAUCAUUUGAAAUUUCAUAAACAUGUGAUUAAAACUUUGUUUAUUUCAGCUACUUUUGUUUAGUUUACAUAUCAGUUACAGUCCAGCACGUUCUUGCUUGAAGUCCAGAAUGAUAAACAAAACUUUGCGCAGACGGGAAGAUUCUCCAAUUCUCGAAUUUUUUUUCCCUUAAUCACUUUAUAUUUUGAGUUCAUAACCACCAUUUUUUACAUUUGAUUCUUUAUUGAAUGAUUUUAUCUGCUCCUUAAUUGUAAGCUAAACACUCAAAAUCAACAAGCUUCAAUAUUCGAUUGUCAUAAUUCUACAUUGCCUGCUGAUGUUCCCCUUGUUCAAAACUUGUAGAUUUGUCAAAGCCAGAUUGUAAGACAUCCGGGUGUUAUUCUGCUUGAAUCAAAAUUAGGAUUUUGCUAGUGCAUAAUCUAGGUCCUGAACCAAAUAAGUAAUGCCCUUAAUUUCUGUUUGAAAAUAAGCUGGAUUUGGUUUAUGUUUCGAGGCACAAAACAGAUAAGAGAUUUCUUGCAUAAUGAAUGGGGCCUUAAAGCAUUAGUAGACAAAAAGAUUCAAAGCACUAGAAUCCCCACUCAAUAGUUUUGUUAGGGAGUUCAUAAUCUUCAUUUAAAGUUACUUCUUAAUAAGUAAUAACUCACAUGGAAAUAUAAUUUUAUUUUACAUCAAUACUUUGCUAUUAGCAGAUGAGAUUUAAGUUGCAUAUUGUAAUCAAUAAUUUGCUAUUAUGCAGAGGCAUUUGUAUGGGGUCCUAAAAUUAAAGAACAAGUGAAGAAAGCAGGUGAAAAAAACUUUCAUAACUAAUAACAUAAUUUAUUAUUGUAACACCCGAAGUCUGGAAGGCCAAGAAAGGAAAGAAAACCCUAAUUUUAAAGGGUGACUCGGCGAGUCCAAGGAUGAACUCGGCGAGUCCGAGCGGGAUCCGAGUCGAGGAGUAAGUGACCGAAUCGGCAAGUCGGCCAAGGGGACUCGACGAGUCUGGUCUGCGCGAGGAAAACCCUAAAAUCGGGACUUGGAGCCUAUUUAAACGUCUCAUUCUCUCCCCUAGGGUGCCUUUACUGCCUCUUUCACCCAUAACACCAAACCCUAGUCGCCUUAUUCAUUGAUUGAGCCAAUUGGUGCCUUGAAGAGUGCAUUAAGCUUGGAGAAGGAAGAAGGAUCUUGGAGGUACAAGAAGGGGCUAUAGAUCCGGGAUUGGGAAGAUAUUUCUGAGAAUUUGGAGGUAAUAAAAUAGUUCUUGGACUCCUUUGCACCUAGAUCUAUGUGUGUGUUUUGGGCAUUCUUGGCAUGAUAGUAACCACUCGAGCUAGGGGUUCAGAUCUGAGGUUGCUACCUCAGAUCCAUGCUUAUUUUGGUCUAGAAUCCCGUAAAGUAUCAGCUCUUGGUAUAUUGGUGAAGCAUGGUUGUCAUAAACCCUAGUUUAUGGUGUAUUUUGCCUAGAUCUCCUUCUCUACACGUAAAGUUUGCAACUUUACGUGAGGAAUAGGCUUGGGAAGGGUAGAUCUAUAGUUUGGAGUCCAUGCAUGACUCAAAAGUCCUCUGCAUGUAAGGAGAUCUGAAUGGACUCGGCGAGUCCUUUGAGUGGACUCAGCGAGUAGCAUGAAGGUGAGGAGCAACUCGACGAGUGGGAUGAACGGCUCGUCGAGUCAGAUGAAGAUUGCCUUGUACUCGGCGAGUCUGUUCUUGGACUCAGCGAGUCAGGUUGCGAAACCCCAAACCCUUUGAGUUGAGACUCGAAUCAGUGAGUCGGGUGGAGACUCGGUGAGUUGGACAGGUCAGGACUCAGAAAUCGGUAGACUCGGCGAGUCAUGGACUGACUCGGNGACAUGGACCGACUCAGCGAGUCGAGACGCAAAUGGAAGGAAUCUGAACAUUUGAACUUGGCGAGUCAGUAGGGUGACUCGGCGAGUAGGGUUGACCUGGAAGGUUGACUUUGACCAGGACUUUGACUUUGACCAGAGUUGACUUGGUUGUCUUUCGGGGAUCAGUUAGACUCAGUGUUGCUUUGAUAUUGGUAGUUCGGGGAGCAAGGGGAGCAGGAGUUCAGUGAGUUGUCGGGCAGCAGCUAGUGAGAUCAUCAGCAAGUUCAGCCAGUGCAGGUGAGUUUCCCUUUGUGUGAAUGGGUCUAAGGGCACAAUGCUGGUACAUGUAGUUAUGAGUUGAAGACCCAGGGGUUAGCCCUAGGCACAAUAUGCUAAUAUGAUUUUCAGGACGAGGUCCCUUAAUAGCGGGCGGGUGCCCAAGGAUUUGUUUAUAUGAUAGUCUAUACUUGUUGUCUGUGUGAUACAUGUAUGUGUCUCGUAGGGAGGUGAGUGUAGGCGAGGUCCUGUAUCUCACCAAUAGCAGAGUGUGGAUGGUGUUCCACAUCUCAUUAGUAGCAGAACAGGGGCGAGGCCCAAGCUAGAAAGGGAGUGAGAGUGGGCUGGGCCCGUAUCUCACUACCAGUAGGAGCGUGGACGGGGUUCCAUGACUCAUCAGUAGCAAGACAAGGGCGAGGCCCGAGAUAGGCGAGGCCUUAGGAUAGGAUCAUUCGUAUGAGUUUAACUUAUGUGUUGUGAUAUGUUAUGAUAUUAUUAGUUGGCGGGUGGCACCCUGUGAUAGGCGAGGCCUAAGUAAAACAGAUAUGUAUCCGAGCGGGGCUCGAAGCCAGGCGGGGCCUGGAGCGGUGGGGCAGUUAUAGCGGGGGAGGCCCGAGGCAGGGGGCGAGGCCCAAGAUAGCGGGCGUGGCCCAGUAUGUGCAGUAUGUGAUUAUGCAUUGUAUGUGGUAGGGUGGGGAACUCACUAAGCUUCUUGCUUAUGGUUUCCAGUUUUGGUUUCAGGUACUUCCGGUAGCGGAGGGAAGAGCUCGGGGUGAUCGCAUGGCACACACCAUUGAUUAGGCAGCCUGGGAAUGUUUACUCUGAUAAUGAACAUGUGUUUUAAAAAUUUAUACUUUGAUUAUGUUUUGGAAUGAUGACUUUUCUUAAAGUAAUGUUUUAUUAAAAGAAAUUUUUGGUCUUGAAUUUUGGGUCGUUACAAGUUGGUAUCAGAGCCUUGGUUUGAGGGAUUCGGACAUGCUCUCGGGAGUGUCUGAACUCUAACUGAGGAAUUGGUAUAAAAUUUUUCAAAAUGAAAAGACAGUUUUGUAAAAAGAGAGUUUUGAGAAAGAACAUAGUUUUAGAAAAGCAAAAAGAAUUCAGAAAGAAAAGAACUUUGAAAAGAGAAAAGAGGUGUGGUGCAUGCAAUCAACCGAGCUCAAGUAAGUACCCCAAAAUACCCAUACAAGUCUAUGUUUUGAUUAUCAGUUNNNNNNNNNNNNNNNNNNNNNNNNNNNNNNNNNNNNNNNNNNNNNNNNNNNNNNNNNNNNNNNNNNNNNNNNNNNNNNNNNNNNNNNNNNNNNNNNNNNNNNNNNNNNNNNNNNNNNNNNNNNNNNNNNNNNNNNNNNNNNNNNNNNNNNNNNNNNNNNNNNNNNNNNNNNNNNNNNNNNNNNNNNNNNNNNNNNNNNNNNNNNNNNNNNNNNNNNNNNNNNNNNNNNNNNNNNNNNNNNNNNNNNNNNNNNNNNNNNNNNNNNNNNNNNNNNNNNNNNNNNNNNNNNNNNNNNNNNNNNNNNNNNNNNNNNNNNNNNNNNNNNNNNNNNNNNNNNNNNNNNNNNNNNNNNNNNNNNNNNNNNNNNNNNNNNNNNNNNNNNNNNNNNNNNNNNNNNNNNNNNNNNNNNNNNNNNNNNNNNNNNNNNNNNNNNNNNNNNNNNNNNNNNNNNNNNNNNNNNNNNNNNNNNNNNNNNNNNNNNNNNNNNNNNNNNNNNNNNNNNNNNNNNNNNNNNNNNNNNNNNNNNNNNNNNNNNNNNNNNNNNNNNNNNNNNNNNNNNNNNNNNNNNNNNNNNNNNNNNNNNNNNNNNNNNNNNNNNNNNNNNNNNNNNNNNNNNNNNNNNNNNNNNNNNNNNNNNNNNNNNNNNNNNNNNNNNNNNNNNNNNNNNNNNNNNNNNNNNNNNNNNNNNNNNNNNNNNNNNNNNNNNNNNNNNNNNNNNNNNNNNNNNNNUUACAAGUCUGAUCUUUGAACAGGUUUUUACGAUCAUAAUGGACGCGACACAAUCAAACCUUAUUAAUAUUUCCAACAGCAUUGGUUCGACGACAAAGAUUCCGAUCUUAUACACCCAUGACUAUGAAGUAUGGGCACAUCACUUCGAAGACUACGUUAUUGGAUCGGAGGAUAAUGGGUAUCUCAUUUGGGAAGCCAUCACCAAUGGACCGUUUUCUCAUUCUGCAACGUCCAGAAUCAUCAAGACACAAAAAGAGUACAAUGAUCUGCUAAAGGACGUGAAAGAUAUUGCACAAGAUGAAAAGGAUAAGUUCCAGUGCAAUAUCAAGGCAUUAAGGUUGAUCAGGUUCGCCCUUCAGUCCGAUACAUUCAGAUUGGUUAGCUCAUGCACGACGGCAAAGGAUGUUUGGGAUAGACUUCGCGAACUGUAUUCUACAAACGAGGAUCUUGAACAUUCUAUUCAAACUUUGCUCCUAUCUGAGUUUGGAGAAUUCAGGCAAGGGGUUGAAGAAACUGUGACCCAGACGUUCGAUCGCUUCAAUCAUCUUCUUAGCAAGAUGAUCAAACACGAUAUUGAAAGGAAGCUUAUCGAACAGAAGGUUACAUUCCUGAAUGGUCUGAGGUCUGAAUGGAGAGCAGUGGUUUCCACAGUUAAAGCCCAUGAGCAGUUUAAAUCAUAUUCUUUGGCGAAACUGGUGGGUAUUCUCAAGUCCCAAGAGAAGAUUGUGCUGCAAGAAAAGAACGUCGUUUCCAAUCUCAGUUCGUUGGCCCUCCUGUCAAAAAGUAAAGCUGUUAUGGAGGAUGAAGACCUCAACCUGGAGGAAUAUGAUCUCACAUCAGAGGAUUAUGCCAUGAUGGUGUCCAAUCCCAAGAGGUUCAUAAAGAAGAGAUUCCCCAGCAACAAAAACCGAAGCUGGCAGGGGAGUUACAACUCUGAAAAAGUGAUUAAUGAACUGAAAGCUGAGGAGCACAAGAAGGAACCGAAGGUGGAUGGUGAUUCUGGAGUAAGUUGUUUCUACUGUGGUGGGAAAAAUCAUUAUGGUAAGGACUGUGUCCUUAAGAAAAUGGCUGAAAAAGACGAUGGGAAUGACGAGGAAGCCGUGUUGCAGAAAAGACUGGACGAGUUGAGAAAGAAGAAGUCUACCGCUAACCCUCCUAUUAAUGCUCGUAUUGUGCAGGGUUCGGUUCAAGGUGAUGAGUUAGGUAGCACGGAAGUUUGGUCUACCGACUCAGAAGACGAGGAAGUAAGGCAGCCUACCCAUGGAAAGGCUUACAUGUCUAGGGAAGAAAGCAGUGGUGAAAGAUGCUUCAUGGUAACUGACGUAUCUCAUAUGAGGGGAUACAACACCGAUGGAGGCAGUGAUGGACCGAAGGCAAAGGAGGACAUAUGCUUUACGGCCAAACCGCUCAGCCAGCAGUUCAAUGAGCUCGAUGAACUGAUAAAGAAGGUACAAUCUGUUUUUAUUUCAUGCAAAGUACCAUCAUCCUCUUAUGAGAAAGAACUAAAAAACGUCAAUACAAGAAUUUCUCAUCUAGAUAGUAGCUUAACUCAAACUCGGGUCACAAAUUCUAACCUAACUGAUCAAUUGAGCAGGGCGGCGUCGAAGAGUGAGGAGCGGAGAAUGUGGAUAGAGUUAAAGGAGUCGGAAUUAGUCAAAGUUAAAGAUGAAAACAUUUAUUUGCAAAGAGACAAUUUAAAAUUGUUAAAACAACGAAAUGUUUUUUGUUUAAUUGCUAAACGUCUGUAUUCUAAUAUUACUCAGCUUCACUUGAAUUGUGAAAUAGGCCAAAAGAUUCACCGCAUGAUUUUGCCCUUCCUAGAGUUUAAGGAAGAUGAAAUCGAUGCCGAAGCCUAUAAUUGUGAGAGUGUAAUAUCGUCUGAUGAUGUCAAUCCGACUUACAUGUAUGGACUGGAAAAAAUUGAGUCCUUCAUUAAAUCCAAAGACCACAAAGACAUGCUUAAAAAUCUUUUGCAUGAAAAUGACAAACUUAAACUGAGAACCGAAACCAUACAAAAAUUUGACUCUUUAAACGCCAACGUAAGCUCAGAAAACAAAAUUGAUGUUAAAAAUGCAUCUGAGCUUAAUGAGGACGAUAACAUGAGCGAAAUUUCUGUAGAGGACACGGUUGACUGCUCAGAAUUUGUUAAAACCGAACCUGAAAAUCACAAGAAUUUAAUUUCUGAAAACUCAGUGGAGUUCGCUCGGUUGUCCCAUCAAAAGUUCCCAAAAUUAGUUGAGAAAGCUGUUGUGUAUCAAAAGGUCAGGACCACGCCGAAUCAAGUUUACAAGGUGACAGGAGUAACCGAACAUCAAACAGCUGAACUCGUAGCCAUUGUAAACGAAGAUAAUGCUGAUGGCUGUGAUGAGUACUUCUGGGAAGCUCCAAAUGAUAAUGCAGACGAAACCAUUGGUUUAUCUGAAAGAACUUCCUGGAAGAGCAAAGGAAGAUACAUACCUGAGCCCUUGAAUAAGCCGAACAACUUCGAUGAGCUGAGCACCAGUGGUACAAAAGAUAUUCCUCAGAAGAAUGAUCACUCGGCAAAAGAAGACAUUCCCUCUGUUCCUUCGGCUCAAAGUAACGCUCCUAUAGUUCAAAAGGAACUUGCCAAAGAAACACCGAAUACAAAAGCAAAUGUUCAUCAUCAACCUUCUCAGAUGAGGAACACGAAGUGAGAAAGAAACAACAGAUACCGAAAGAACCUUUCUAAAAGGAAACAAUUCUGGCAUUCCCAGAAUGCAUAUUUCACUCAUCAAGACAAGAAUCUGAAGUAUGAAAACAAUCCUGGAGGAAAGCUUGAAAGUCACAAAAACCGAAAGCCAAGGUUCGGUUCCGAAAAGGACUCCAACCAGAACCAAAGGUCCGGUUCCAAAGACAGCUCCAACCGAACGCAGAAGUUUGGUUCUGAAGUCAAAAGAGAACAAGACUCUAAGGUCAGUCCCACCAAUGAUCAAAAGCAAAAGGAUCACCUAGAGUCACCAGCCAGAACUUCGAGACCAUCAAAAAGUUCUGUUGGAUCAACGGAAGAUAACCGAAAGCAGAGUCUCGGUUCUGAGCAAAACAACAACCGAACGCACAGGUUCGAUUCAGAGAGCAAAAGAGACCAAAAAUCUAGGUUCGGUUCCACUAAUAAUCAAAACCGAAAGAGUCACCUAGAAUAUCAGAUUAAGAAAUCAUCUGCGUCUAAAUUCUCUCAUUCUAAUUCUCAUUCUUCUUCUCAAUCUCAUACUAAUUCUUCCAAUCAUUCCUCUUAUCAAUCUCAUUCAUCAGUUGAGCAAAAUGGAAGCAGAAGGUCGAUAAAUCCAAACCAGAGUCUAAAUCUAUCUCACCUAAUCUCAACAAAAUAAAGGUUUACACCAUUAAAAGGAAAGAUAAAACAACUCUUAUAAAAAGAACUUAUCUUGUUGAUGUCUCUCUCAUUGUUCCAGUUCCCAUGCAAAGCUCACGUGGACCCAAGAAGCUUUGGGUUCCUAAAUCUGCUUAAUUUUUGCAGGUUAUUAGUGACGAGCAGUUUGACGAAGAAUGGUAUAUUGAUAGUGGCUGCUCACGUCACAUGACAGGGAGGAGAGAGGAGCUAAGGGAAUACAGAUCUCUCGCAAAUGGUGGCAACGUCAAGUUUGGAAACAAUUCAUUCGGCACCAUAAAGGGAUACGGGAUGAUCACAAAUGGGGACUUUACUAUAAGGAAGGUGGCUUAUGUGGAAGGACUCCAACACAACCUCAUCAGUGUAUCUCAGCUUGUUGGAGGUACAGGUCUCAAAGUCUCAUUCGACGAUGAAGGUUCUGAAAUUAUAGAGAAAAAGUCAAAGAAAGUGAUUCUGAAGUCAGAACGAAAGGGUGAAAUGUUUCCCGUAAACAUGAAACCCAUUAAAGGAAACCCAGCUGUAUGCCUGUUGUCAAAAGCUCAAUCCGACGAAAGCUGGUUGUGGCACCGAAGACUCUCCCAUCUCAAUUUUAAAGAUAUCAAUCGUCUUGUCACUGGAGGUCAUGUUAGGGGUCUUCCAUUGCUCAAGUUCGAUAAGGAUCAUCUGUGUGCUGCAUGCGAAAUGGGGAAGCAGAGUCGUCAAAGUCAUCCAUCUAUAAUCAACACAAAAGUUGUUGAACCACUCGAAUUACUUCAUAUUGAUUUGUGUGGUCCUUCAUCUAUCGAAAGCAUCGGUGGUAGCAAGUAUAUUCUUGUUAUCGUUGAUGACUUUUCACGAUUUACAUGGGUGUUCUUUCUAAAGCUCAAAUCCGAAGCGACUCAAAAGCUGAAAGUGUUUAUCAAGCAAAUUGAAAUACAGCUCAAGAAGGUUGUUCGCAACAUCAGAAGCGACAAUGGUCUCGAAUUCAAGAACAGGGAGUUUGAAGAGUUUCUUGCAGAAAAGGGAAUCAGUCACAAUUUCUCAGCUCCCUACACACCGCAACAGAAUGGAAUAGUCGAAAGACGAAACCGAUCUUUGUGUGAAGCUGCCCGAACUAUGCUAAGUUUCGCUUCCUUACCUCUUUAUUUUUGGGCUGACGCUAUAUCUGCUGCUUGUUUUACACAGAACAGGUCAUAUCUCAACAAAAGGUUCGCACUUACUCCAUAUGAGAUACUGAACAACAGGAAGCCGAAUGUGAAAUUUUUCCAUGUCUUCGGCUUGAGGUGUUUCAUCUUCAAUUCUAAAGAAAACCGCAACAAGUUUGAUGUCAAAGCCGACGAGGGAAUAUUUAUGGGUUACUCGCUCACAUCCAAGGCAUUCAGGAUCCUAAACAAGCGUUCGAGAAAGAUUGAAGAGACGUACUAUGUGACCUUUGAUGACAUCUAUGUCAAGAAGCUAAAGGCUAAAGAAGAUAUCAACGAUGAAAUCUUUCCUUUAAAUGGCCAGGUUACUGUCUCGGUCGCUAACUUAUUCGAGACAUUCAUGGACCUCUUCGACGAACCAGAGAAUGCUUCACUCUCUGAAGCAGGUGCAGCGGACAACAAAGUUGAUCACAUGGAGCAGAUUGUCAAUGAUGCUGCAAGAAGAAUGCAUGAAGAAAUAUCAACCUCUAACGACUCUUCGUCCAACAACGCUCAAAUCGAGGGGGAGCCAAACGCUCAAGUCGAGGGGGAGCCAAACGCUCAAGUCCAGGGGGAGCCAAAUUCUACAACUUCAACCGAAGAGGCAUCAACACCAGGAAGCUCAGAACCACAAGAACCACCAGAACCUCAAGUCUCCCAAAGUACAUCAACUGAGGCGGAACAUAAUGAUGUGACACUCGGUUACGAUAGCCAAUUUGAGCCAGACGAAAUAAUUAAUGUUGAACUAGACCCAACCUUUGAUCCAAAUUACCCUCCUCUUAUCAAAUGGACCAGAGAUCAUCCUGUCUCUCAAGUAGUUGGAGAUAUCUCUGAAAAGGUUUUGACCCGAUCACAACUGAAGGCAAAACAGACUUCCUUAUUUUCAAAGGUUGAGUAUUGUAUGUUCAAUUCAUUCGUAUCAAAAGUUGAACCGAAGACAGUUAACACUGCCCUUGAUCACUCUGAUUGGGUUCAAGCAAUGCAAGAUGAACUGAACGAAUUUGAAAGGAACAAAGUCUGGCGUCUCAUUCCAACUCCUCCAAAUGCUUCAGUUGUUGGUCUCAAAUGGGUUUUCAGGAACAAAAUGGACAAGGAAGGUAAUGUUAUAAGAAACAAGGCUCGUCUGGUGGUAAAGGGAUAUUGUCAGGAGGAAGGGAUAGACUAUGAAGAGACUUUCGCUCCAGUAGCUAGGCUAGAAUAUGUUAGAAUAUUUCUAGCUUAUGCUGCUCACAAGAACUUUGAGGUUUUCCAAAUGGACGUCAAGUGUGCAUUUCUCAAUGGAGAACUCGAAGAAACGGUGUACGUAGAGCAACCUCCUGGGUUCGUGAACGAAAAGCAUCCAAAUCAUUGCUACGUUCUGGAUAAAGCUGUGUACGGCCUUAAGCAAGCUCCGAGAGCCUGGUAUGAAACGCUUACAAAAUUUUUAAAGAUGUCUAAAUUCAAACAAGGUUCAGUUGACCCAACCUUAUUUCGCAAAAAGGAAGGUAACCACCUUAUGAUAGUUCAAAUUUAUGUCGAUGACAUCAUCUUUGGCUCCACGAAUCCCAGCUUAACAGCUGAAUUCAGAAAGCUGAUGGAGACUAAGUUUGAAAUGAGCUCAAUGGGUCCUAUUAAUUUAAUCCUUGGUUUAAACAUUAGACAGGGACCCGAAGGCAUCUUUAUUAAUCAGGAAGCUUACACAAAAACUCUUCUAGCAAAGUUUGGCAUGAUGGGUGACUCAAAAGUCAAAGUUCCAAUGGCAUUCGGCACCAAGCUUACCCCAUCUCUAGACAAACCGGCUGUCGAUAUCACGCUCUAUCGUCAAAUGAUUGGCUCUCUGAUGUAUCUAACUGCUAGCAGGCCUGAUAUCAUGUUUUCUGUGUGUUAUUGUGCUAGAUUUCAGGCUAACCCACGUGAACCUCACAUGCUUGCGGUUAAGAAUAUCUUACGCUAUCUCAAGCGAACCACCUCCUUAGGUCUAUGGUAUCCAUCCAACUCAGGCUUCUUUGUUCAAGCCUAUUCUGAUGCUGACCUUGGAGGAUGUGGACUCGACCGUAAAAGCACAACUGGUGGUUGUCAAUUUCUUGACGGGAAGUUAGUCAGUUGGCAAUCCAAGAAACAAACGUGCGUGUCAUUGUCUACUGCCGAAGCGGAAUAUAUUGCAGCUACAUCCUGCACAUCACAAGUGAUUUGGAUCCAAAGUCAACUUCGAGACUACGGACUCAAUAUGAAGAAGAUCCCACUAUAUUGUGAUUCUGAAAGUGCAAUUAGGAUCUGUCAUAACCCAGUGCAACACUCCAAAACCAAACACAUAGCACUGAGGUAUCACUUCAUCAAAGAUCACGUGGAAGAUGGAAACGUCGAAGUUCACUUCGUAAGAACCACUGAUCAACUGGCUGACGUCUUUACAAAAGCCCUUCCUGAAGCAACAUUCAAUAAAAUAUUGCAAGGCUUAGGUAUGAUGGUUGCAGAAUCGGUCCCAAAUCCUCAAGUCUCUAUUUAAAAAAAAAAAAAAAAAAAAAAAGGAACUGAAGCAACCAGACCGCUCUGUUGCUUUCUGCUCUAACUUUUUAACAGAACCGAACCACACAGACCGCUCGGUCUCUCUCUGAUCUCAAAGACUUAAGGUACCCGAACCAAACAGACCGCUCGGUCUCUCUCUGAUCUCAAAGAAUUUAGGUACCCGAACCACACAGACCGCUCGGUCUCUCUCUGAUCUCAAAAAAUUAAGGUACCUGAACCAAACAGACCGCUCGGUCUCUCUCUGAUCUGAAGACUUCAUGCACCCGAACCAAACAAACCGCUCGGUCUCUCUCUGAUCUGAAGACUUAAGGUAACAGAACCACACAGACCGCUCGGUCUCUCUCGGUCUCUGUUAUAUAAAAGCGCUCAUGCUAUCAGCACGCUCGGUCUCUCACUGUUCUAAAAGAUUCACGGAACCAAUCCAAUCCGACCGCUCGGUUCUUCUCGAUUAUGAAACUAUCACCGAAAUACACAGAUCGAUCGGUCUAUCUCUGCUUCUUAAUUUUGCACAUAUUUUAUCUCUCUGUUUUUAAAUUUUUUUGAAAAUUCCAAAAUUACAAAAAUAUUUUGUCUUUCCGUUUUUAUUUAUCUCUCAGAAAAUUUCAAAAUUACAAAAACAUUUUAUCUUUCUAGUAUGUGUUCGUUUUACUCAGGUGAAUACAAGCAUCUCUAUAUGUAAUGUUCAUCCAGGUAUGUUUUAUUUUUAUCAAACUAGUUAGAUGUCCCUAGAAGCAUGCUGCUGUAUGUUGUCGCAAGUCUCUAUGACCUCGAGCAUGCCUUAAUGAUUCGAUCAAUACUUAUCGUCUCUUCCCAAUCAGGCUAUUCUCUCAUACUCGGUCUAGAGCUACCUUCUUUUACUCAUCUGAAACAUGAGUUGCUCUGCUUUGUCCGAUUUCUGUAGCAGAAGGUACACUCGGUCUCUUAACCACCUCCUCAAAUUCUCCAUUUAUCUUCGAUUCCAUAACGUAACCCUUGAUGCUCUCGGUCUUUACCACUAAGGCUUAUGGUUACACAAUCUCUGUGUUUAUGAUCUUGGAUUCGUUUACCACGUUCCUCGUGAAACCCAAAAUCCAAUACCUAAAAUGAAUUGACGGUGAGUGAUAUACUCAAGCUUUUACUUAGAAAUCUCAUUUUUUUUAUCAUCUCUAAUGAAAUCGUCUCUUCCUAAGACAUUUCUACCCAAAGAGGUCCAGUUUAUUUUUUUUGAGAUUUCUCUUUCAUCCCAUGCCUGUCACUAAAUAAUUCCCUCCUACCUGUUCAACAGAUCACAUCGAUCUCACCGGUACCUCUGCCAACACUCAGUUUUAUGUUGAAACUUGAGGUUCGGUUCGAGGAAAGCCACCCCUAGCCUAUGAUCAAAAGAUGCCUUUCAUUGUUUCUUUACAAACAAUUGAUCGUAUUUCGAGGGAAACCACACAAGCACUUCAAGUCUCUCUUGACUUUGAAGGAAGUGAUUCUUGCCCGGAAUCUUCUGCCUUCUGUCUUCUACACAGACAUCACUUACUCCCACACACCUUUGCUUUAUUUCUCUCUUCUUCACACUCUAAUGCACGAAAAUUCAUUUUUUCAACAUUCUGAUUGGUGGUUGGUAUAUCGUUUAAGUUACAGAUGCAACCAAACAGGGGCGCAAGGGAUUUCAAACGGUACAAAAGUACGAUUUGGGCGCGUGCAGAUGAUUCGUUUCCACCCACGUACACUGACGUAUUCAUGGGAUACACCAUAACUUCCAAUCGCGCUUUUUCAGGCGACGUUUUGGUUUCAUCAUCAUCACGAUUUUCUCUCUCCUAUGAACGGUAUAAAUAAGGCGUGAUCGUGUUCUUUGGCAUUUACCUCUCAAGAAUUCUCUCUCUGAAAAAAUAACCACUGUUCAUCUUCUUCUCCAACUCAACAAUGGCGGCUUCUUCUUCCGUACAAGAUCAAACCGCAACCUCUUCGUUGCUCUCAAUCAAACCUAAUCAAAAUUUGAUCAUAGAGAUGAACCCAUUCUUAUAUGAUUCAUACAUGCUCCACGUGGUGGAAUGCCUCAAAUAUUCCCCACUGUUGGUGGCACUUACGCAAGUGGAGGCCAUUCCCAUGUCCCUGCUCUCCCAAGUCUACACAACGGCCAGUUAUGACAAGCACAAAGACCGCAUCUUCUUCACCAUUCACGACAAAAAGACUUCCGUUUCCAAAACACGGUUUUGCUCUCUUCUAGGGCUUGUCGUCGACUCCUCUGUCAUCUCACCGGACUUCAUCACCACCGCACAACUUUUUUCAAUGAUGUAUGAGAUGGGGUAUACGGAUGUUCUUACCACCAUUGGCAAAGUCAAGAAGUCCUGUCUUCCAUCUCAAUGGAACGGAUUGCUUACCCUUCUUAUUAAGGGUUUAUCGGAGAGAUGUGGUGGUUCUGAUACCACCAGCAAAGCGUUUCUGACCAUCCUAUAUGGUCUUUACAAUGGUAUUAAUCUCGAUUAUGGGUCCCUAAUCUGGGCUCAAGUCGUUCGAAGUCUCAACACAACUGCCAGGUACUCCGAGAUAUCAUGUGGCAGGUUUUGGACGCUUAUUACACGAAGGGCCAUGGAUUCCCUUGACAUCCCGGUAAUGAAGGAUGCUCUUACGGCUUCAAUUGCCUCUUUCCACACCAAGAAGAUCAUAGUCUCCGACCCAAGUAAGUUUCUUCACUAUGGACUGAUUCCUGAGUCCAUGUACAGGUGCGUCAUGCCACACAGCAAAAUCAUGGCUGACUACAGCACUAGCACACCCUUUCCUCCUAGGGUUCUGACUGACGAACAACGUGCUGCUCUUGAGGCCCUGGAUCAGCCUGCCAACCGAGGCAAGAGGGUGAGCAAAAAGGAAAAGGCGGAGAAGAAAGAAACCGCACCUCAAAAGGAGAGAAAGAGAAGGUCCUCCAAAUGCAAAUCCGAAGCAGAGGCACCUUCUCAAUCUAAAUCGAAAAAGGUGAAGAAGAUGGCUAAAAUCAUGGCUGACUACAGCACUAGCACACCCUUUCCUCCUAGGGUUCUGACUGACGAACAACGUGCUGCUCUUGAGGCCCUGGAUCAGCCUGCCAACCGAGGCAAGAGGGUGAGCAAAAAGGAAAAGGCGGAGAAGAAAGAAACCGCACCUCAAAAGGAGAGAAAGAGAAGGUCCUCCAAAUGCAAAUCCGAAGCAGAGGCACCUUCUCAAUCUAAAUCGAAAAAGGUGAAGAAGAUGGCUAAAAUCAUGGCUGACUACAGCACUAGCACACCCUUUCCUCCUAGGGUUCUGACUGACGAACAACGUGCUGCUCUUGAGGCCCUGGAUCAGCCUGCCAACCGAGGCAAGAGGGUGAGCAAAAAGGAAAAGGCGGAGAAGAAAGAAACCGCACCUCAAAAGGAGAGAAAGAGAAGGUCCUCCAAAUGCAAAUCCGAAGCAGAGGCACCUUCUCAAUCUAAAUCGAAAAAGGUAAAGAAGAUGGCUAAAAGAGCCAAAGGGUCUCCUUCUUCUGAAUCAGAACCGAAUGCACCCUCAGAAACAGAAGCUGCUGAUCCUCAAACAGAAACUACACCCGUUUCGUCUCCACAAAAUCCAUCCUCACCAGUAUCUCCCCAUAUUCCCAAAUCUUCCUCCCCACCUAAAUCUCCCCAAAUUACCAAAUCACCUUCUCCUCCUACUUCCCCAUAAUUUCCAACCCCAACCCAAUCACCUAAACAGAAGGUCACACGUUCUGUUCCAACAUCUAUUCCCCAAACCACAACAGAACCUAAUAUUCCGUUCUCUGUUUCUCAACCCUCAACCUCUAUCUCCACGCCCAUUAUCACCGAAUCUGUUACCAUCACCUCUACCCAACCACCAGUAACGGUCAACGUAUCUGAUACGGGGGCUGCUACUGCGGUUGAAACCCCGGUCAUCAACCUUCCUUCAUCUCCUUCUCCAUCCUCCAACUCCGGUGCUACCUUAGGGGGUGAUGAUGAAGACUUCGAUUCCAUCUACUAUAGCCCCUACCGGAUACCUACCGACACCGAUGCAGAUACCCCUGUGACAAGUCAGCAGCUUCAGGAAAUUCACGCCAAACUUGACAGUCUGCUUGCUGACAGUAAAGCUUAUGGGGGUGCUGUGCUGAAAGCAUUCAUAGAGUCUGCAAUCCAGACUUACACCGAAGCCUUGGAUCGUUCAACUGACGCAGUAGAUAACUCAGUGGCCUCAUGCUCCAAAGCCACUAAGGAAGUCUCUGAAGUUGUUCAUACAACUCAGAUCUUUCUUGACUCUCUUAAGGCUCAUGCUGACUCUAAUGCUUCCAAAUUUCAAGCGUCAGUCGACUCUUUUUCGGCUACCCUUCAGGGAGAAACCAGCAAAUUUGAGGCUCUGCGUGCUGCCCUCAAAACUGAAUCCACCUCAUUCCUCAACUCUUUGGAUUCACGUUUUGCCUCUCUGGCAGCCGAGAGCACCUUGAAGGAAGAACUUGUUAAACACCAGGCAACCAUUGACUUACAAAAGAUACAACUAGCCCAGGCUCAGCAGGAAGUUACUUUGCUACAAACUCAGCGGGCAGUUCUUCAAAGUUGUGCUGGUGACGUUAAAAAUAUGUUAACAAGUGUUCUUGACUCCCAUGAUCCCUUCCUGACCCUCACUAUUCGUCAGCAUCUCCAGGCAAAACUCCUUCCUGCAAUUACUAUCUUAAGUGAAAUGAAGGGUGUCUCGGAGAAGCUGGUUCUUCCGAGACAAGGGGGAGAGGAAGGUAUGUCCAAGACAGAACUGAAGGGUAAUGUAGCUUCGGGUUCUGGUAAACAGGUCCUGGUUGAGAGCGACUCAGAAUCAGACGAAACUAUCACUGAAGCUCUUCAACACAAGAAAAGGGACCGAGAGCUUGAUGAUACUUUAAGAAUAGCUCGUGAGGCCGAGGCCAGAGAAAGAAAAAUAAGGGAGGAUGAGGAGGCCAUUCAAGCUAAAAAGACUUUGUUCCCAGAUUGGGACAGAGACACACUCAUUACUCAAGCAAUUGAGUUUCCUUCUAUUUAUUGGUUGGAACCGAUUGCGUCUUUUGAGUGUGAAAAUUCAAAAGACUCGCAGUUCGACAUGCCCAUUACGCGGAAAGCCUUCACAUUUCACUGCUUUGAUGUCACUGCCAAUGUCCCUCAUCCAAACCCGAAGGUUGACCGAGAGCUCAUCGAUUUCUAUCUGAAAUUCGGUCAACCACAGUACUUGACAUGGAGUGCCCAGAAAAUCAUUAAAGUCAAGGUACUGAAACCAACGCAGGCUGGGAAAUUUGUAAACGUCAAUUUCAAAAUCAACAGAGGAACUGCCAACACCGAACAUCUUAUUUCUCUGGCAAAUCUUCCCAGUCUGAACCUGCAUGAUUGGAUCUUGCUAUACAACAUUCUUCUCUCCAACCAGAGAGAAUAUGAACCAAUUCUUUCUCAUCUUAAAAGAAUGUUGGCUUCCUACGUCCAUGAGCUCGCCACUAUGGAUCAGGAAAUAGCAAAAGUAAUGAACAAGAAACCGACUGUCAAGCCCACUUCAAAGACCGGAGAUAUUCAUAAAAUGAAGUUGGGGCAAAUUGAUUCAUCCAAUCUGACGGUUAUGUUCACCAGGGGCGACAAGCAUAAGUUUCUGUUUGCUUUGGUAGACAAGCAUCUGUUUUCUACAGAGUGUCUAGAGCACAUCAUCAAUAUCAUUCACCGAUGCAAACAGAACUCAACAGCAGACAAGAAGAACUUUACAGAUAUGCUUCGUUGGUAUAUUACCUUCAGGCAUCAUAUUCUGGCUUUGAUACCGAAAUUUUUUGAAACGGUAAAGAAGCCCUCUGCUUUGAAAAGAGAAUGAAGGUCUCGCUCCAAAUUGAUGCAAAGGGGGAGAUUGUUGGGCUUUGAAGAUUGCGUCUUUUGGGCUCGUUUGUUUAGGCUAUUUUGUAAUCCGGUUUGGGCCUGUCCAACCGUGAAGCCUUUUAUGCUUUGUAUAUAAGAUUACGCAUGCAUGCAUAUUAGGUUAAGGUUUCAGAGAUCUGAGAACAGUGAUUCAUCUAGACGAUAACAGGUUUCUUUGAAAUCGUUCUUGUAACCUUCCAAUCCUCUACAGUUGAUGUUCUUAAUCGAGCUCUUCUGAGGAUUUUGUUUAAUCAUUCGACACGUUUGAUUCUAUCUUGUCUUGUUCUUAUAGUUGUGUUCAUAUCGUCUUAUUUACUUACUUGUUCAAGAUCUAAUCGAUCUUUAUAGAUUAACAGUUUGUUUGAAAUUGGUUUGGGCCUGUCCAACCGUGAAGCCUUUUAUGCUUUGUAUAUAAGAUUACGCAUGCAUGCAUAUUAGGUUAAGGUUUCAGAGAUCUGAGAACAGUGAUUCAUCUAGACGAUAACAGGUUUCUUUGAAAUCGUUCUUGUAACCUUCCAAUCCUCUACAGUUGAUGUUCUUAAUCGAGCUCUUCUGAGGAUUUUGUUUAAUCAUUCGACACUUUUGAUUCUAUCUUGUCUUGUUCUUAUAGUUGUGUUCAUAUCGUCUUAUUUACUUACUUGUUCAAGAUCUAAUCGAUCUUUAUAGAUUAACAGUUUGUUUGAAAUCAACAAUUGGUAUCAGAGCAGGAGGCUGUGUAAUUGAUACACAUCUUUUCUGUGAAAAAGAUUUCCAUUAGGGUUUUUCCGCAAUCAUCAAUAUUUAUUGAGCCGUCAUCUCUUUAUUGACGUAUCUUGAUAUUUAUUAUUUUGCCCUAAUCUGCUUUAUUACAAGUCUGAUCUUUGAACAGGUUUUUACGAUCAUAAUGGACGCGACACAAUCAAAUCUUAUUAAUAUUUCCAACAGCAUUGGUUCGACGACAAAGAUUCCGAUCUUAUACACCCAUGACUAUGAAGUAUGGGCACAUCACUUUGAAGACUAUGUUAUCGGAUCGGAGGAGAAUGGGUAUCUUAUUUGGGAAGCCAUCACCAAUGGACCGUUUUCUCAUUCUGCAACGCCCAAAAUCAUCAAGACUCAAAAAGAAUACAACGAUCUGCUAAAGGAUGUGAGAGAUAUUGCACAAGAUGAAAAGGAUAAGUUCCAAUGCAAUAUCAAGGCAUUAAGAUUGAUCAGGUUCGCCCUUCAGUCCGAUACAUUCAGAUUGGUUAGCUCAUGCACGACGGCAAAGGAUGUUUGGGAUAGACUUCGCGAACUGUAUUCAACAGACGAAGAUCUCGAACAUUCUAUUCAAACUUUGCUUCUAUCUGAAUUUGGAGAAUUCAGGCAAGGGGUUGAAGAAACUGUGACCCAGACGUUCGAUCGCUUCAAUCAUCUUCUCAGCAAGAUGAUCAAACAUGAUAUUGAAAGGAAGCUCAUCGAACAGAAGGUUACAUUCCUGAAUGGUCUGAGGUCUGAAUGGAGAGCAGUAGUUUCCACAGUUAAAGCCCAUGAGCAGUUUAAAUCAUACUCUUUGGCGAAACUGGUGGGAAUUCUCAAGUCCCAAGAGAAGAUUGUGGUGCAAGAAAAGAACAUUGUUUCCAAUCUCGGUUCGUUGGCCCUCCUGUCAAAAAGUAAAGCUGUGAUGGAGGAUGAGGACCUCAACUUGGAAGAAUAUGAUCUCACAUCAGAGGAUUAUGCCAUGAUGGUGUCCAAUCCCAAAAAGUUCAUAAAGAAGAGAUUCCCCAGCAACAAAAACCGAAACUGGCAGGGGAGUUAUAGUUCCGAAAAGGUGGUUAAUGAACCGAAAGCUGAGGAGCACAAGAAGGAACCGAAAGUAGAUGGCGACUCUGGAGUAAGCUGUUACUAUUGUGGUGGGAAAAAUCAUUAUGCUAAGGACUGUAUCCUUAAGAAAAUGGCUGAAAAAGAUGAUGGGAAUAACGAAGAAGACGUGUUGCAGAGAAGACUAGACGAGUUGAGAAAGAAGAAGUCUACUGCUAACCCGCCUAUUAAUGCUCUUAUUGUGCAGGGUUCUGUUCAAGGUGACGAGUUCGGUAGCACGGAAGUUUGGUCUACCGACUCAGAAGACGAGGAAGUGAGGCAACCUUCUCAUGCAAAGGCCUAUAUGACUAAGGAGGGAAGCAGUGGUGGAAGAUGCUUCAUGGUUACUGACGUAUCUCAAAUGAGGGGAUACAACACCGAUGGAGGCUGUGAUGGACAGAAGGAAAAGGAGGACAUGUGCUUUACAGCCAAACCGCUCAGCCAGCAGUUCAAUGAGCUCGAUGAACUGAUAAAGAAGGUACAAUCUGUUUUUAUUUCAUGCAAAGUACCAUCAUCCUCUUAUGAGAAAGAACUAAAAAACGUCAAUACAAGAAUUUCUCAUCUAGAUAGUAGCUUAACUCAAACUCGGGUCACAAAUUCUAACCUAACUGAUCAAUUGAGCAGGGCGGCGUCGAAGAGUGAGGAGCGGAGAAUGUGGAUAGAGUUAAAGGAGUCGGAAUUAGUCAAAGUUAAAGAUGAAAACAUUUAUUUGCAAAGAGACAAUUUAAAAUUGUUAAAACAACGAAAUGUUUUUUGUUUAAUUGUGAAACGUCUGUAUUCUAAUAUUACUCAGCUUCACUUGAAUUGUGAAAUAGGCCAAAAGAUUCACCGCAUGAUUUUGCCCUUCCUAGAGUUUAAGGAAGAUGAAAUCGAUGCCGAAGCCUAUAAUUGUGAGAGUGUAAUAUCGUCUGAUGAUGUCAAUCCGACUUACAUGUAUGGACUGGAAAAAAUUGAGUCCUUCAUUAAAUCCAAAGACCACAAAGACAUGCUUAAAAAUCUUUUGCAUGAAAAUGACAAACUUAAACUGAGAACCGAAACCNGUGUUGGAUUUGGUCCUAUUGCGCAGCUCUCGUUUGAGUCUAACCAUUGUAGGAACGAGUCUUUUACUUGAAGGAUUAUCUAAGCCUCAUCAUAUGUGAUGGUAUCCAGGUGAUGGCUAGUUGGCAUCACAAGGAAACCUUCAGCAGCUGAGGGCAGGUUUGAGUUGAGUCAUAGGUUUCUCUAGGGUAAGCCUAGGAUGAGGUAGUGCUGGGAGCAGUAGUAGUAGAAAAGGGACCUGGUGGAGUCGAAGCAGUUCUUGAGGAAAGUACGGAUAGAUGUGGAAGGUAGUAUGGUCCCGUACUACUGAAAGCAGAGGAUCCGUACUCGAUUCGGGAAAGGCCAAGACAAGACCGGAAACUUGGUAGUGAGUAUGUUUGGUCUCGUAGUAGUGAGGAGUAUUCUGAUAGUGGUUAUGUUAUAUGUUUCAGUAUGGUGACGUUGCGAGAGAGACCAGAGGGCGGAUCAGGCACCGGAGAGGGAUCGGGCUCGGGUUCAGGGGCCGAGCAGCUCGAGGAGCGGAUGAGAGAGUUGAUAUCAGCUGAGGUUACGCGCAGUAUUCUAGCUCAGACUCCUGUGAUCUUUGGCACGGUCAAGGAGGGUAUAUUGGAGAUUUUGGAUGAGAGGCUGGGAGCCUUCCGUACUGAGAUGAUGGCAUUGAUGGGAGCGCGUACCUUGACAUUUCGGGAGUUUAAGGUUUGCAGGGCACCAGAUUAUCAUGGGGCUAGGGGCCCCAUCGCUAGCAGCAGAUGGUUGGCUGAUGUUGCCAAAGCGUUCCGUACGAGCCGGUGUCCUGAGGAGGACAAGGUCAGACUCACUUCCUGUCUUCUGAAGGAUAGAGCGAGGGAUUGGUGGGAAGAGAUCGGUCAUGCUUUGGGUGAUGAUGCCGCGUUGGACGCGAUGACUUGGAGCGAUUUCUCAGCUAGGUUCAGGGCGGAGUUUUCGGCAAUUAUUGAGGUGCAACAGCUGGCCCGAGAGUUUCAGGAUUUGACGCAGACUACUGAGACUGUGGCGGAGAUCACCGCCAAGUUCAGGGAGAGGGCUCUUCUCGUACCGCAGUAUGUCGCGGAUGAGGAAAUGAAGAAGGCCCGAUAUCACGAGAUGUUGAGGGCUGACAUAAGGGAGUUCGUGGGCAGGUCCGGUUGUAAGACGUUGGAAGAUAUGAUUUCUCGGGCCAGAGAGAUGGAAAUUCAUUUGGAGCAGAUCUGGAAGAGGAAGCCGGAUGAGGUUUAGGUAGUCGCGAUUUCGGGUAAAAGGCCCAAGGGAUCGGAUUCGAGAUCGAGGGAUUAUCAGGACCGCAGUCGAUGCGGAAAGUGUGGCAGGGCGCACGGGGGCGCGUGCAAGAGUGUUAGUGGUGGUGAGUCUGGCUGCUUCAAGUGCGGUCGGACUGGUCAUUUUAGCUGGGAUUGUACUGUUACCACCACUCAGGGAUCAGACUUGAUAUGUUUUCACUACAAUUAGCGGGGCCACAAGAAGGCCCAGUGCCCCGGUUUGUUUUCAGCAGAACNCAGGACGGGUGAUGGCACCUGCCCCUGCAACCUUGAGGAUCACAGACGGCCGUCAGGGCCGUGCAGAGGCGCCUGCGGUAGGAGGCAGGGUUUUUCAGAUGGCUACCUUGGAGACGCGAGCAGUGCCGGACGUUGCAGGUAUGCGACUUCCGUUUUCAGUUCUUUUAUUUUUGCAUGAUUAUAUUGUUAUGGUUCUGCAUCAUUAUCAGUAUGAGUAUUUUAUUUUUGAGCGGUUUGAUUGUUAUCGAGUUAUAUGCCAUCUGCAUACCUUGGAUAUUUGGUUAGUAGUUAAGGGAUGGGUUCUAUCAAAGAAGGUUACUUAGGGUGCAGUAACUGUAGCAUGCGUUCGAGGGACUCGGUAUGUCUCGCUAGUUCGGAGCCGUAUAAGUUUUAGAAAUGGAUCGGUUAGAUCCCUAGCUAUGGUAAGUUUGGGAUUCCUCAGCUGAUUGAUUAUGGAAUGGUAGCAAGGAUUGGGAUUUCUAUUCAUUGAGCAGCGAGGUAUAAGCAGGAUCGAAGUGGGGGAGAAUCCUCCAAAUGUACAAGGGUAAGAGCAUGUAAAUCCAGAACGAGUACGCGAUUUCUGAGAAGGAAAAGAGGUAGUUCAACAUUUGAUGGAUUGGGUAGUUCAUGGUUGGGAGUUUGAGAAACUCCCCAUCAGUCCGUGCGUGUAAAUGGUGAUGGUGAGUAUGUGGUUCGGAUUCAGGUUGAAGGGUCGUCUGUAGGACUCGUGUGAGUCGGAAUGAAGAUCUUGAGGUCAAAUAGCAUAGGAUGCUUUCGUGUUAGUAGACAGUGGCAGAAGCAGCAUGUAGAGCAUGGAAGAAUGGUGGGAGAGCCGUAAAGUGUUGUCAGACUACGGGGCAGCCGUAGCAUUCACUAGCAGACGGCGAUAGAAGGUGAUGUAAGACCGCGGGUAAGCCGUAGCAUUCCAUAGUGGCUUCGUUGGCAGAGUUGGGGAGAGGCCCUUAUCUCCUAGCAUUCAGAUAGGGAUCAGAAUGAGUAACGGAUGAGAAUGGUAAGGAGUUUGCCUGUAUAGACCUUGAGAGGUAAGACCUUGGGAGAGGCAGCUCUAGGAUAUAGUCGGGUGAGACCCGCGGGCAAGGUCCGUAUGAGAGUAGCAGGGUAGGUGAGACCUGAGAGUAGGGUUGCUCAGUAGUAUGGUUGGGUGAGACCCGUAGGCAAGGCCCAUGCGAGAGUAGUGAGGCAAAUGAGAUUAGACGGAUAAGGGCGGGUGAGACCCGUGGGUGAGGCCCGUGAGUUUUAGCAUCACAGGUGGGACCUGGUAGGGAUCUUAGUGUCUAGAUAGGGGAUCGGGGAUCCCAGUAAAUUGUAGUGCCAACAUGGUAGAAUAGAUUGAGCAGUAUAGGUGGUUGAAGUUUCUUCGAAUGUCGCUAAGAGCGACUAGUGGUUGUGUUGGGUCAGCGAUCGGUGGGAGCCGGUAAUCCAGAUAUUGAUGGGUUAGUAGGGACCAGGGUGGUCUCAGUUCAUCUGGAAGCCAGAAAGGAAUAGCAGGAUUUCCAAUCAGUAGCAGUGCGAGUAUGCAGUGUAUGGUGGAAUUCAGUUAGUCGAUCGUGGGGUGCUCGACACCAAAUUAUAGUAAAAAGAAUGCCCAGUGGAUACUGGCGAUGAUGACCCAUACUAGGAGUAGCGGGAAUAAUAGAUUUGGUGGAGACAGGGUCUUCACAGUGGCAGAGGAGCUAGAUGGUUAUGGAGCGUUGCCUUGGGAAGGCAAGGAAAUCGCGCAAGGAAAGAAGGGAUGGACCCCUAUGGGGUCAGUGCAGUAAUUAGAGAUUACCAGAAGGAUUGUCGGUUGAGUAAGUUGUGUUUCCAGAAUGUUCAGGGUCAGGAUGGACCCGAGAUUGUUAUCCGUAAGGAUUGAUGUCAGUCUGAAUGACUGAGCGGAAGGCCAGCGAAGUUAGGCAGCUGGUGUUAGACGAAUUGGUGGGGUAUUGGAGGCAGACCGCAGGCGAUGGAUCAUAGCAAACUUCGAGGACGAAGUUUAGUUUAAGUGGGGAGAGUUGUAACACCCGAAGUCUGGAAGGCCAAGAAAGGAAAGAAAACCCUAAUUUUAAAGGGCGACUCUGCGAGUCCAAGGAUGAACUCGGCGAGUCCGAGCGGGAUCCGGGUCGAGGAGUAAGUGACCGACUCGGCGAGUCGGCCAAGGGGACUCGGUGAGUCUGGUCCGUGCGAGGAAAACCCUAAAAUCUGGACUUUGAGCCUAUUUAAACGUCUUAUUCUCUCCCCUAGGGUUGCUUUACUACCUCUUUCACCCAUAACACCAAACCCUAGUCGCUUUAUUCAUUGAUUGAGCCAAUUGGUGCCUUAAAGAGUGCAUUAAGCUUGGAGAAGGAAGAAGGAUCUUGGAGGUGCAAGAAGGGGCUAUAGAUCCGGGAUUGAGAAGAUAUUUCUGAGCAUUUGGAGGUAAUAAAAUAGUUCUUGGACUCCUUUGCACCUAGAUCUAUGUGUGUGUUUUAGGCACUCUUGGCAUGAUAGUAACCAUUCGAGAUAGGGGUUCAGAUCUGAGGUUGCUACCUCAGAUCCAUGCUUAUUUUGGUCUAGAAUCCCGUAAAGUAUCAGCUCUUGGUAUAUUGGUGAAGCAUGGUUGUCAUAAACCCUAGUUUAUGGUGUAUUUUGCCUAGAUCUCCUUCUCUACAUGUAAAGCUUGCAACUUUACGUGAGGAAUAGUCUUGGGAAGGGUAGAUCUACAGUUUGGAGUCCAUGCAUGACUCAAAAGUCCUCUGCAUGUAAGGAGAUCUGAAUGGACUCGGCGAGUCCUUUGAGUGGACUCGGCGAGUAGCAUGAAGGUGAGGAGCAACUCGACGAGUAGGAUGAACAGCUCGUCGAGUCAGAUGAAGACUGCCUUGUACUCGGCGAGUUUGUUCUUGGACUCGGAGAGUCACGUUGCGAAACCCCAAAACCUUCGAGUUAAGACUCGAAUCAGUGAGUCGGGUGGAGACACGGUAAGUUGAACACGUCAGGACUCAGAAAUCGAUAGACUCGGCGAGACAUGGACCGACUCAGCGAGUCGAGACGCAAAUGGAAGGAAUCUGAACAUUUGAACUUGGCGAGUCAGUAGGGUGACUCGGCGAGUAGGGUUGACCUGGAAGGUUGACUUUGACCAGGACUUUGACUUUGACCAGAGUUGACUUGGUUGUCUUUCGGGGGUCAUUUAGACUUAGUGUUGCUUUAAUAUUGGUAGUUCAGGGAGCAAGGGGAGCAGGAGUUCAGUGAGUUGCCGGGCAGCAGCUAGUGAGAUCAUCAGCAAGUUCAGCCAGUGCAGGUGAGUUUCCCUUUGUGUGAAUGGGUCAAAGGCAACAAUGCCGACCCAUGUAGUUAUGAGUAGAAGACCCGGGGGUUAGCCCUAGGCAUAGUAUGCUAGUAUGAUUUUCAGGACGAGGUCCCUUAAUAGCGGGCGGGUGCCCAAGGAUUUGUUUAUAUGAUAGUCUAUACUUGUUGUCUGUGUGAUACAUGUAUGUGUCUCGUAGGGAGGUGAGUGUGGGCGAGGUCCCGUAUCUCACCAAUAGCAGAGUGUGGAUGGUGUUCCACAUCUCAUUAGUAGAAGAAUAGGGGGAAGCCCAAGCUAGAAAGGGAGUGAGAGUGGGCUGGGCCCACAUCUCACUACCAGUAGGAGCGUGGACGGGGUUCCAUGACUCAUCAGUAGCAGGACAAUGGCGAGGCCCAGGAUAGGCGAGGCCUUAGGACAGGAUCAGUCGUAUGAGUUUAACUUAUGUGUUGUGAUAUGUUAUGAUAUUAUUAGUUGGCGGGCGGGGCCCUGUGAUAGGCGAGGCCUAAGUAAAACAGAUCUGUAUCCGAGCGGGGCUCGAAGCCAGGCGGGGCUUGGAGCGGCGAGGCCGUUAUAGCGGGCGAGGCCCAAGGCAGGGGGCGAGGCCCAAGAUAGCGGGCGUGGCUCAAUAUGUGCAGUAUGUGAUUAUGCAUGGUAUGUGGUAGGGUGGGGAACUCACUAAGCUUCGUGCUUACGGUUUCCAGUUUUGGUUUCAGGUACUUCCGGUAGCGGAGGGAAGAGCUCGGGGGGAUCGCCUGGCACACACCAUUGAUUAGGCAGCCUGGGAAUGUUUACUCUGAUAAUGAACAUGUGUUUUAAAAAUUUAUACUUUGAUUAUGUUUUGGAAUGAUGACUUUGCUUAAAGUAAUGUUUUAUUAAAAGAAAUUUUUGGUCUUGAAUUUUGGGUCGUUACAAUUAUGGUGAUUCUAUCUAAACUUCCAAAAGGAUCUUCAUCUUCUUCAUCACUACAUGGUUAUAGUUCAUCAGCUCGUGUUCAUACUCCAUCUACUCAUGGUCAUAAUUCAUUAACUUCUAAUCAUAGAUAUGAUGUAUUUUUAAGUUUUAGAGGUGUUGACACUCGUCAUAGUUUCACUGAUCACCUUCAUAAGGCCCUCAUUCAUGCCAAUAUCAAUACCUUCUUGGAUGAUGAAGACAUUGAAACAGGGGAAGAUCUGAAACCAGAACUGGAGAGUGCGAUUAAGGCAUCUCAGGCUUCUAUUAUUGUGUUGUCUAAGAAUUAUGCUUCUUCAACAUGGUGCCUGGAUGAAUUGGUGCUGAUCCUUGAGCAACGGAUGACAUCCAACCAUAUCGUCAUCCCAAUCUUUUAUCAUGUGGAGCCCACACAUGUCAGGAAGCAACAAAGUAGCUUUGGGGUUGCAAUGGAUAAGUAUAAACAGACAAUGGAGGCAGAGACAAAUGCAAAUAAAAGAAGUCAAUGGGCUCAAAAGAUGGACCAAUGGAAUAAAGCGCUUACACAAGUUGCUGAUUUAAAAGGGAAUGACAUAAAUGGCAGGUCACCACUUUCUUACCCUUAUUCAUCUCCCUAUGCAUUUCAAUAAGUUUUUCUAAAUCAUUAAAUAGACAUAUAUUUGAUAUUUUAGGAUAUAUAGAAAAUGAACAUAAUUGAAAAUAAGUCCUCAAGUAUGUGUUCUCAUAAACCAGUUCGUAUAGAUGGAUUAGCCAUUCUGAUAAUUUUUACAUGUUUGUUAUGCAUUUUGUAUUUUAUCAUAAGUUAGUACUUUAGAUAAACCUGCUCCACGAUUUUUACAUGCUUUUUAUUUAAAAACCAAAGUUUGAUGGGUUUUCUAUGCUUCUACUAUUAAUUAUAUCAUACUGCCUUCAAAUCAUAGUGGUUACACAAGUUGAUGAUUUAAAAGGGAAUGACAUAAAUGGCAGGUCACCACUUUCUUACCCUUAUUCAUCUCCCUAUGCAUUUCAAUAACUUUUUCUAAAUCAUUAAAUAGACAUAUAGCUGAUGUUUUAGGAUAUAUAGAAAAUGAACAUAAUUGAAAAUAAGUUCUCAAGUAUGUGUUCUCAUAAACCAGUUCGUAUAGAUGGAUUAGCCAUUCUGAUAAUUUUUACAUGUUUGUUAUGCAUUUUGUAUUUUAUCAUAAGUUAGUACAUUUAGAUAAACCUUCUCCACGAUUUUUACAUGCUUUUUAUUUAAAAACCAAAGUUUGAUGGGUUUGCUAUGCUUCUACUAUUAAUUAUAUCAUACUGCCUUCAAAUCAUAGUGGUUUUAAUGAUAAAUAACUGCUUUUAGUUGUAUUUAUUAAAAGAUAACCCAUAACUAUUUCAUGGCAUUUUGUUCAAAUCCAUGUAAAGCCACAUCGAUGGUUAAGUUUGAUGGUCUUGUAGAAACAUAGGGAAAUCUUGUAUUUCGUUGGUUGCUUUGGUCUUAUCAUAAACUAAUAUUUAUGACCCUCUCCAUUAGCGAAAUCUUGUAUUUCAUGGUAUUUUGUUCAAAUUGAUGUGAGAAGUCAAUUAAUAAUAACAACAGUGAUAUAAUCUUAGUUAGGAUCUUUGAAUAAAUUAAAUCUCCCAAACUGGUUCAUUAGUUUUGUAGAUUGUGUUCUGAAAUUCUUAUAUAAUCAAGUUUCAGGUUGGAGACAGUGUUUAUUGAAGAAAUUGUGAAGGACAUCCACCGUAGAUUACAUGUACACUUAAGGAGCGUUCGGCCACAACUUAUUGGGAUGAAUUAUCAUAUUAACUUUGUAACUUCAUGGUUGAAAGAUGGAUCCUCGCAUACAGCAGACAUACUUACUAUUUAUGGUAUAGGUGGGAUCGGGAAGACAUCUUUAGCCAAACAUGUCUAUGGGCUAUAUUCUCAUGAAUUCCAUACAGGCAGCUAUAUUGAAGAUAUCACCAGGAAAUGUGAUGGGAAGUUUAAUGGGUUGCUUGAUUUACAAGAACAACUCUGCUAUGACAUUUCAAAAACAAGUUCAAUUAAAGUUCAUGAUGUUUCAGUAUACACCGCAAAGAUAGAGAAUGCACUAGCAUGUAAGUUCUUGAUGAUAUCAGUACCCUUGUUCAGUUGGAUGCACUACUUGGAAGCAAAGGCUUUCAUCCUGGAAGCAAAGUUAUAAUUACAACAAAGGACAAUUGGUUGACUCAGAGUUGUUCUUUAUUUAAAACAAACAUUAAACCCAAGCAUGAAAGGAAUUUGCUUCGAGGCUUAGAUUAUUUUGCAUCGCAACAACUUUUGUGUUCCCAUGUAUUCAUGUGAAACCAACCAAGGCGGGAUAUGAAGAGAUGUCUGAUAAGCUUGUGAAGUAUUGUGAAGGACAUCCAUUGGCUCUUGAAAUUUUGGAACAAUCUCUACAUAAUCGAGAUGUAGCUUAUUGGGAAGGGUGCCUCGAAGGGCUAAGGAAUGAAAUUACUUCCCCUAUCAAUAAUGUCUUGAAAAUGAGCUUCGAUUCCUUGCCAUCAAAAAACGAUAAGGAGUUGUUUAAGCAUAUUGCUUGUUUUUUUGUUGGACUAGACAAAGAUGUUACCGAAACAAUAUUAGAGGCAUGUGAUAUAAACACAAGAUCCGGGAUCACGAAUCUCAUUGACAGAUGCCUUCUUAGUAUAGGACGAAAUAAUGAAUUGAAGAUGCAUCAGUUGGUUCAAGAGAUGGGAAG
rnacentral:lncRNA from 1 species